GAGGAGAUGCAGAGGCCUGGUACCCCGCUCUACAACAUCAAGGCUUACCUCCCUGUCAUCGAGUCCUUUGGGUUCUCCAGCCAACUGAGGGCUGCAACCUCUGGCCAGGCGUUCCCUCAGUGUGUGUUUGACCACUGGGACAUGAUGGGCUCUGAUCCUCUGGAGGCCGGCUCCCAGGCUGCUCAGCUGGUGUUGGAUAUCCGCAAGAGGAAGGGUCUCAAGGAGCAGAUGACCCCUCUUUCUGAGUUUGAGGACAAGCUCUAAAUUUUGGUGGUUUGUGCUGCUGUUACCCAUGCUGGUUUCAUGGCCAAUUCGUCUACUGUAACUGGAACUACUUUCAUGUUUCAUUUCCUUUAGUUGUCAGAUGCAUCUGUUUUUGAACAUCAUUGGCCAUAUGGCAUUGUGCUGCUAAGACUGUAUUUUGUUAUCCGGUUGUGAUGUAACAGAUGAAAUAGAGUUCAUAUCUGUGGUUUAAGUGGUAGUAUUUGCGGUAUAAUGCUUGUUUCUACUGCCUUCUGAAAGCCUUUCUUUUGCCUAACGGUAGAGCGGAUUAACUAAGGGUGUUGUAUCAUUUGAUUCAUUUGAUCCUUCAUCAAGGAUGAAGCCAUCUCCUCAUGGGAACACAUUAUUCUACUAUUAGAAGCGAAGAUGUAACAAAUUAGUUGAAAGAGGAGCGUUGAAAGAGGAGCGAACCAUACUUUACUAUAUGGUAAGUAGCAAAUUAGUUACAAGUAGCAAAUUAGUUGAACUUUAGGAUCAUGCACGUUGAACCUUGUUAUCUAGGAUCAUCCAUGGAUCAUGCACGUUGAACCUUGCUAACUAGGAUCAUGCACGUUGACCCUUGUUAUCUAGGAUCAUCCAUGGAUCAUACACGUUGAACUUUGCUAUCUAGGAUUAUCCAUGUAUGCAUCAUGUAGUGCAUCUGUGCAUGCAAUAUUCUGUUAUCUAGGAUCAUCCAUGGAUCAUACACGUUGAACUUUGCUAUCUAGGAUUAUCCAUGUAUACAUCAUGUAGUGCAUCUGUGCAUGCAAUAUUCUGCCCUUAGCUUGGUUUUACUGCCGAUAGCUAUAUAGUGCAUUUAAAUGCUUUUCUUUUGCCCACAGCCCCAGAGGUAGAGAGGACUAACUGUUUCUGUUGCUUUUUUUUUUUACGGUCUACGGGAGAGAGUGUGUGUGUGUGUUGGGGGUGGGAGCGCCCCCACCUGAUUUUCAUUUCAUUGAGGGUCUGUUUCAGGCCAAACGCUGUGUAGAUCAAAAGGAGAUAGAGAGAGGCAGUGUACAUCUGGUUUUGUGAUUGUUUUACAUCGAAGCAAAGACAGUGCACCAGGAGUCGGUUAUCACGCGAUCCUCUAUGCGAAACCGCUCGCGCCAAAGUCGGGCUUCGUCUCGGCAUGCCGACCAGAAGCGUUGUUGAGAUGGAGCGCAGCGCUGGAACACUGGGUCAUUCCGGUGCUUCCAUAACACCCACGGCAGAAGGAGUUUUUUCUUGCUUUGCCUUUAGCUUGGCUUUAAUCCUGUUAGCUAUGCCUAUGUAGAGCAUUUGGUCCUUCGAAUUUUAAAUCGAUGUUGAUUUUGAUUGCAUGCCGUCAUUUUGGGUUGGUUCCAACUAUGUUUUUAAUAUCAGUCGUUCUGAAGGUUACUCUGUUGACACUUGAUUGCAUAACCGUUUGCUAGUUUUGCGUGCAUCCGCGUGCUGGUUCGUCUCAUCAAGAACUAGCCGUUGCUCAAAACUCUGGCUUUCAGGCAUGGCCGCAACAGCCUGGAGGAUGUGUUGCUGUUCUGUAGCUGUAGUGUGCGUCUGUGCUAGUGGAUGCAGGGAGCCAGCGACCUAAAAGGAAUCGUGUAUUAGUGGAUGCAGGACAUCGGCCGUGGCGGCCUGGGGGAGACGACCACGCUCGACAUGAACGGCAGUAAGUUCAAUGGCACGAUCCCGGCGUCGCUUACCGGCCUAUGGAGCCUCCAGUAUCUAGAUGUGAGCGGCAACCGCUUCACCGGCACCAUCCCAGCGUUGCUAUCUGGACUCCGGAACCUCCAGCUUCUCGGCCUGAAUGACAACCUCUUCACCGGCACCAUCCCGGCGGACCUCGGCGAGCUGGCGAGCCUUCACAUGCUGUAUCUGGCAAACAACCAGUUCGAUGCAGGCCAGCUGCCGUCGUCGUUCAAGAACCUGACCAACCUGGUCAGCCUCUGGGCGUCGCAGUGCAACCUCGUCGGAGAGUUCCCGAACUUUCUUUGGAGCCUGAAGGAGCUGCAACUAUUGAAUCUGUACACGAACAACCUCACCGGCAACUUGGUGGUUGAUGGCCUUGUUGCGAGGAACUUGACAGUAAUCGACGUCUCGGAGAACAAGAUCACUGGAGUUAUCCCGAGUGUUUGGGAGCUUGGAGAACCUCAGAGACUUGAACUUCUUCAUGAACAACUUCUCCAGCGAGAUACCAGCCAGCAUCGGCCGGUUGCCCUCACUGACGAGGUUGAGGCUCCACACCAACAUGCUUAACGGCACGCUCCCACCGGAGCUCGGAAAGCAAUCGCCGGGCUUGAAUUAUGUUGAGGUUGAUUACAAUGAGCUCACCGCCGAGAUCCCGGAAGGGCUGUGCACUGGAGACAACCUCCAGCACCUCACCGCCAAGAGCAACCAAUUGAACGGCUCCAUCCCAGCAGGCCUUGCCAACUGCGCCACUCUUGGAACCCUGUCGCUGGACAACAACCAACUCUCUGGCGACGUACCAGAGGCUCUGUGGACGGCGACGAAGCUUUACCAGAGGCUCUUCCGGCCACGGUGCAUCUCAACCUUUCGACGAUACUCAUAGGGAACAACCAAUUUGGUGGCAACAUUCCGGCUGCACUAGCUGCGCUCCAGGUGUUCACCGCCGAGAACAACCGGUUUUCUGGUGCGAUACCGGCGAGUCUUGGCGACGGCAUGCCGCUGCUGCAAAGACUGAACUUAUCCGGUAACCAACUGUCCGACGGGAUCCCCAGAAGCGUUGCUAAGCUAAGCCAGCUGACGGAAAUGGACCUGAGCAGGAAUCAGCUCACCGGAGGCAUACCGGUAGAGCUCGGCGCCAUGCCGGUGUUAAGUGUCCUUAACCUGUCGUCGAACAAGCUCUCCGGCAACGUGCCGCAGGCGCUUGCGAAGCCGACACUCACCGCCCUAACCUGUCCUCGAACCAUCAGACCGGCCAGGUCCCGGCCGGGUUCGCCACCGCGGUCUACGACACCAGCUUCCUCAACAACCCCGGCCUCUGCACCGCCGCUUGGGGACCUGGCUACCUCACGGGCGUACGCUCCUGCGCCGGUGGAUCACAAGACGGCGGUUCCUCCGGAGGCGUGUCGCACGCCCUGCGCAGGGGAACCUCGCCGUGGCGUUCGCCUUCUUCGUCGUCCGCGACAUCAAGAAACGGCGGCGCGUCGCGGAGCAAGACAACUGGAAGAUCACGCCUUUCGUCAAAGAUCUGGGAUUCGGUGAGGCACCCAUACUCCGGGGGCUGACGGAGGAGAACCUCGUCGGGCGCGGGGGAUCGGGGCGCGUGUACCGCGUCGCCUACACCAACCGGCUUAACGGCCGAGCCGGCGCGGUGGCCGUAAAGCAAAUACGGACCGCCGGGAAGCUCGACCAGAAGCUGGAACGCGAAUUCGCGUCAGAGGCUGGCAUCAUCGGCAACCUCCGGCACAACAACAUCGUCAAGCUCUUGUGUUGCCGCUCCAGCGCCGAGUCCAAGCUCCUCGUGUACGACUAUGGACAACGGCAUCCUGGACAGGUGGCUCCACGGCGACGCCCUCGUCGCCGGCGGGCGCCCCAUGGCGAGGGCGCGGUCCGCGCGGCGCGAGCCGCUGGACUGGCCGGCGAGGCUCAGGGUGGCCGUCGACGCCGCGCAGGGGCUGUGCUACAUGCACCACGAGUACGAGCCGCCCAUCGUCCACCGCGACGUCAAGACGAGCAACAUCCUGCUGGACUCGGAGUUCCGGGCCAAGAUCGCCGACUUCGGGCUGGCCACAGGAUGCUGCUGCAGGCCGGGGCGCCGGAAACGAUGUCCGCCGUCGCUGGCUCGUUCGGCUACAUGGCUCCUGGUAAGGAUUCGAACUUGCUGCUUUCAGUGAAUUUCUGUCCCAUUUCUACAAAUGCCACGUGUUCUCGUGUUGCCGGACCUUAGAUUGGGCCUUUUGAUGCUUAUCUGCAGAGUGUGCUUACACCAAGAAGGUGAACGAGAAGGUAGACAGCUUCGGUGUCAUUCUCCUGGAGCUCACCACCGGAAAGGAGGCCAACAACGGCGGCGAGCACGGCUGCCUGGCGGACUGGGCACGGCGCCACUACCAAUCAGGAGGGAGCAUCGCCGACGCCACAGACAAGAGCAUCAGAUACGACGGGUACUCUGACGAGAUCCAGGUUGUCUUCAGGCUCGGCGUGCUCUGCACCGCCGAUAUGCCGUCGUCGCGGCCAACCAUGAACGACGUGCUGCAGAUCUUGGUCAAGUGCAGCGAGCAGACGUACCACAAGGGCAAGACGGAGCGUGGCCCAGAGUAUGAGGUGGCUCUUCUACCCAAACGCGGCAGUCGCCGGAAACAGCUUUCAAACGGCUCGGGGAUUUACAUCGAAGAGAAGAUGACAGCAUUGUCUGAAGAAAGGAACUGACCACUGCAUAUGCCAGUAAGCAGCUUGUGACAUCGUCAGUGAACUGCUUGCUAUAGUGAUACUUCACAUUUUAGCAGAGUACAGCGGAGAAUUAUGCCUCUAAUCUUUUUUUUUCUGAGGAGCUAAGUAUCUUUAUAUUAAAAAGAGAAUAUAAAUAGAAAAAAUCAGUCCAUUGGAAGCAACCACUCUAGCUCACCUAGGAGAAUAGAGAGAUUGCAUAAACAAGCGAAGAAAAAACCGUCACCAGACCUUGACCCUGCACGGCUGGACUAGGGACAUGCAUAGUAUAGAGCAGGGCUUGUGGUUAGCCAAACCGUUCUGUGUAUUGAUACUGCAAAUCUGUAUUAAAUCACACACACAUUAUACGUUCCGACAGAAGAACUAGCAAACAUUACGAUUAUACUCCCUCCGUUCUUAAAUAUAUAACGCUAUUGACUUUUUCAUUUGUUUGACUAUUCAUCUUUUCUACAAAUAUUUUUGCAAAUAGAUAAAUCUACGAGUUAAAUCUAAAGUACAUUUCACAAUAGUCAUAAUGAUACACAUUUUACUUUAGUUAACUAACUCAUUCAAUAGAUAUUGAUGGUCAAAGUUGGAGUAAAAAGCCAACAGCAUCAUAUAUUUAAGAAUGGAGGGAGUAAUUUAUUUCUGAAAUAAAGGCAGGAGAUGGAGCUCUGCUUAUCCAUUCAGAAAUUAGUACGAUUGAAUGAUUUUGUCUCCUUCCAGUUUUUAUUGUAAAACACAGAAUAUUACACGGAUAGGCACUGAUUGUUAUCCGGAAGAAAAUGAAUUUUUAUAUUUCAAAAGAAAAGGCCCAAUUUGCACCCUCUAGCUAGCACGAUAAUCCAAUUUUCAGCUAAACUGACCAUGGGCCGGCCCAAAGGCACAGGAAUUUGGCCCGGUCUAGGCAUGGCGGCCGUCGUGCUCGUGCUAACCCGACCCACACCAUGGGCCGUGCUUGGGCCGUUGCCUCAGCCCACGUACUGGUCCGGCACGGCCUGCCCAUUUGGCCCGUCGGGAUUAAGUGGGCGGCCCAUCCUAUUAAGGCCCACUCGACCGCAUAUAAAACCCCCCACCCCCAAACGGCCAAACCCUACCUUCCUCUUCGUGUCCCGCGCCCUUCGCCGCCGUCACCUCCCCCGCGCCCUUCGCCGCCUCUCGCGCCCGCCGGCCGCUCACGCCCUCCGCCGCUUCCCCCCGCCGCCUCCCUCACGCCCUCCGCCGCAUCCUCCCACCGCCUCCCUCGUGCCCUCCGCCACCUCCCGCGCCCGCCGGCCUCUCGCUCCCCUGCCACCUCCCCCGCGGCCCUCUGCCGCCUCCUACACCCGCCGGUCCCUUGCCGCAAUUGGGGAAGAUGGUGGCCUGCACGGCGGCGCGCGCAAACGUCCUGUCGUCCCUCGGCGGUGGGAGCUGCGGCACGAGUGGGCGCCUGGGCAGAUCCGGGAAAGGUCUAUGGGCGCCCUGACGACGAGGUGGUCGAAGUCAUCGGGGCUAUCGAACUCGACGACGACAGGCGCUACGGGCGUAUGAGCAGAGGAAGGGUGAAUUCUGUGCCGCAGGCUGGCACGAGCACGGUGAGGCCGUUAAGGCCUGCCAGGCCAGCGUGCCAGCACGGCCCACCUAAGAAGGCUGCGGGUCAUGCCUGGACCGCUCCUUCGGCACAUGGGCCGGCACGGCCUGGCACUAUUACCGUGCAAGCCUAACCGUGCCGGGCCUAACCGUGCCAGGCCAAAUCGUGCUCGUGCCAGGCCGGGUUGGGCUACCUGUUUGGCCAUCUAUACAUCCAACGGUUGAAACCAGAUAAAUUUUAUCCUUUAGCUGGUUUCAAAGAUGUUUUUUUGUUUUAUUAGACAUUUAAAAAAAAUCUGAUUUAAUCUUGUUGGGGGGAAAUAUUAACGAUCCCCUAAAUACCACUUAAAGGAGCAGACGCGAAGGCCCGGGCCCACCUAAGCAUAAUCAAAACUCCGCCUCGCCCGACCGCGGCCUCAGGGUCAGGAACGCCCGACCCCCCUCCACGAGGUUUCCGCCUCGUCCGACUGCGGCCCCAGGGUCGAAGGCGCCCGAUCCCUCGCCACAAGGUUCCGCCUCGUCCGACCCCAAGCGCAGGGGUCGGGCUCGCUGGGGCCCCCAGGGCAGGCAUCCCCCUCGGAUGUGGACCAGGUGGGCAAGAUAAACAAAUCUUGCGGGUCCCCCCCCCCAUCGGCCUCGUCAUAAAUGCGCUGCGGGCCUGGCAGAGGGAGGAAUGACCACGCUCCUCACACAACCCGCCGCAAGUACCCAUGCACGACCAUACUGUACAAGCUACAGCGCUGGCGGCUCACUCCCAUUCGCCGCAGGGUACUCAUGGCCUGCGCCGACCGGAGCGGAGGAGAGACUCGCCUGUCCUCGAGCCCCGCGCACCCUCGGGUCCCGUGCGCCUGGCAUCUAGGAUGUGACGCCCUCUCUCCAGGAGCCAUCAUCAGAAUGGCAGCAUCCACCGUCCUCCCCAACGGACACCGGGAUAACGACGAAACGCCCUCAUCAUAACCCGACGCCUACGGAUGCCGAAGGAGCUAUCUGUAGGGUGCAACGACAGUUGGCGCACGGCCGCCUCCCCCUCCGGCAUGCACGCCGGCGCUCGCCAGGAGCCGGCGGAGGCGUCGGGCGUCUAGGAACUUGUUCCUCCCAUCCUGCCGUAUUUUUUACCGUACUACGUUCACAUUUUACGGUCCUCUUCGCCCGAUCCCAACUGUAACUCUGGCCACUCCCCUUGCGAUAUAAAAGGAGGAACACAGGGCCGGAGGGGGGGAUCGGCUUCUUCCCCCUCAAGCCACAGCAUGCUAGUACGCUCCCUGAGAACAUAGGCUCAAAGAGACUUGGGACCAGUCCCUCUCUCGUCGGUCUGUAACCCCUACUACAGAACCCCGCGUGGGCAAUACGAGCAUCCACGAUACUGGACGUAGGGCUCCCUUUGCUCGAACCAGUCUAAUCCGUGUCUCCCACGCCACCAUCUGAGGCCUUACGCGCAUAAAAGAAAUUUACUAGUCUAAGUCUUGAUCCGCCAAUCUUGACAACGACAGUUGGCGCGCUAGGUAGGGGACCUUUGCGCAUACCCUCCCAGCCUCAGAUGGCCAAUUACGAUAGUAGCUUUGCUCCGGGCUCCCUGAUCCGAUUCGGGAGCCUGGACUUCCUCGCCACCGGGGAAGGGAUCAAGCUGAUCCCUGUCCUCAUCCUGCCCGCUCGCCCGCCUGCCCCCGGCCCCGCCGCCGGGACAGCGGUGAGCGGCCGCUCGCAUACCGGAAGGACCUCGCCAGGGGGACGGCCCUUCGGGCUACGCAAUGCCACGGGGGCCUACGGACGCCUCCUAGCGCGGUCCAUGACCGCGUCGCCCGCGAGCAACGAGCUCGUAGGUGCGACAAGGACGAUCUCCGACACCGGCUCCAGCAGCGGGAGCCCCCACCCCUCGCGUGAGUGCCUCGUGGUCGACGAGCACUCUGAGGGAUCCAACAGCAACGAUGCCGAGGAGAGACAAAGGGCUGCCCCUCGCGCGCCGCGGCUAUGACCGGAGCCUUACCAAGGGCACCAGAGUGCUCUCAGCAACGAGAGGCGCGCGCGGGCGCCCGCCAAGAAGUCGAGCACCCCCACCACGAGGGAGGAGCGCGACAACGGGCGCGAGACGUCCAGCGACGCAUCUGCGCGGAUGAAGAGCGUCCGCAGCUUUUCGCCCGCGCCAGCCAAAACGUCGCAGCCGCGGCGGUGUUGCUCCGACAGCUCCCCGAACCAGCGAUGCCCGAGGAGCGACGGGCACGCCAAGAGAUGCGCGACCUGCUCGAAUGCGCCGCCGUCCAGCAGGCGGAAAGCUCCGCGUCCCGGCGACGCGGGCAGAAUGCCAGCAGGGCGACGCCCGACGCGCCCCCGGAAAGGCGGGGGGAAUCAGUCCAUCUACCCCCUCCUGGGGCGAAUCAGGCCGCGUCCGCCCGACGGACUCCACCACCCGCGGGAGGCGAGGCUCGAUCCGUCCACCAGCGCGUCGGCCUCGUCCGCGACGCCCGCGACACCCUAAACGCGCGGAGACGCUCCCGCGCGGACAGGGAGGACGGGGUAGAUCGAGGCUACCACGUCCACCGUGGCGGGCGCUACGACAGCGGGGAAGACCGCAGCCUGAGCCCCGGUCCGGCUGGGCCCCGGGCCUUCUGUGCGCGCAUCCUGAACGCGCCUUUUCCGCCGCGCUUCAGGCAACCCAUGAGUAUAGCCAAAUACUCAGGGGAGACGAAUCCUGGAGUGUGGCUCAGCGAUUACCGGCUUGCAUGUCAAGCCGGCGGGGCGGAUGAUGACCUGUUUAUCAUCCGCAACCUACCCCUCUUCCUAGCCGACUCAACGCGAGCUUGGCUAGAACAUAUCCCUUCGGGACGAGUUCGCAACUGGAAUGACCUGAAGGAGGUUUUCAUAGGGAACUUCCAGGGCACGUACACACGCCCCGACAAUUCCUGGGACCUCCGGAGCUGUCGUCAGGGGGCGGACGAGUCCCUCCGAGAUUAUAGCCGGCGCUUCUCCAGGAAGCGCACCGAGCUCUCCAACGUCGCGGACGCCGAUGUCAUAGGAGCUUUCCUAGCAGGAACCUCCUGCCGGCCCCUCGUCCACGAGCUGGGGUGCCGAGGCCCGCGAACCACGGAGGAGCUCCUCAAUAUCGCCACUAGUUACGCCUCGGGCGAAGAGGCCGUUGGAGCAAUCUUCGACCGCUCCAAAGGCAAGGCGAAACGGGAGGAGGUUGCUGGCGAAGGCACCUCCAACCGCCAGCAGAAGAAGAAGGGCAAGUUACGGCGCGAGGCCCCCCUCGUGGCCGCAGCUGAGCGCAAGCGAGGGCCGCCGCCCCCCGAGGGCGCUCCCGGCUUCUUCGACAAGUUGCUUGAGGGACCGUGCCCGAACCACGAGUUCCCCGUGAAGCACGCCUACAAAGACUGCAACCUCAUGAAGAGAUACUUCAUGGGCAAUUCGGUGAAAGGCGACCGGAAGCGGAAGCCCGAUGAGGAAAAGAAGGGCGACGAAGAGAAGGAAGACGGCUUCCCCAAGGUGGACGGCUGCUUCAUGAUCUUCGGGGGCUCUGCGGCAUACGACACCAAGCGCCAGUAGAAGCUGGAGCGCCGGGAGGUCUACGCGGCCGAGCCAGCGACUCCGGCCUUCCUGGACUGGUCAGGGCCGGCCAUCACCUUCGACAGGACCGACCACCCUGGACGCGUCCGGCACCCGGGGCGUUACCCUCUCGUCGUCGACCCCAUCGUCGGCACGACGCGCCUCACCAAGGUGCUCAUGGACGGAGGCAGCAGCCUCAACAUCCUCUACGCCGAGACCCUCGACGCUAUGGGGAUCGACCGUUCCCGCCUCCAUCCCAGCAAGGCGCAUUUCCAUGGCGUCGUGCCAGGGAAGCAGGCGAUGCCUCUCGGGCAAAUCGACCUGCGCGUUACGUUCGGGACCCCUUCCAACUACAGGAAGGAGGUCCUCACAUUCGAGGUGGUGGGGUUCCGCGGAACCUACCACGCCAUCUUGGGACGGCCUUGCUACGCAAAGUUCAUGGCUAUCCCCAACUACACCUACCUCAAGCUCAAGCUGCCGGGGCCCAACGGGGUCAUCACCGUCGGCACGACCUUUCAGAAGGCGUACGAGUGCGACGUAGAGUGCUGCGAGUACGCCGCGGCCAUCACCGUCACGAGCGAUUCGGCAGUCCAGCUUGCGGAGGCCACCGAGGACCGGCCCGACUCCAGGCAGCCGAACAUCUCCUUCGAGCCCGCUGAAGGUAUCAAGGAGGUCCCCCUUGAUCCCGGUUGUUCCAACGGAGGAGUCGUGCGGAUCAGCGCGGCCCUAUCCCCCAAAUAGGAAAGCGCGCUCGUUGACUUCCUCCGCGCGAACAGCGACGUCUUCGCGUGGAAGCCAUCGGACAUGCCAGGCAUUCCGAGGGAAGUCGCCGAGCACUCCUUGAACAUCAGGGCCGGUUCCAAGCCAGUAAAGCAAGGAUUGCGCCGUUUCGACGAGGAAAGGCGCAAGGCCAUCGGCGAAGAGCUCCAGAAGCUUCUGGCGGCCGGGUUCAUCAAGGAAGUGCACCACCCCGAGUGGCUAGCUAAUCCUGUCCUUGUACCAAAAAAGAAUGGGAAAUGGAGGAUGUGUGUCGAUUAUAACGGUCUCAACAAAGCGUGUCCAAAGGACCCGUUUCCUUUGCCACGCAUAGAUCAAAUAGUCGACUCAACUGCCGGGUGCGAGACCCUCAGCUUCCUCGACGCAUAUUCCGGCUACCAUCAGAUCGCGAUGAAAGAGGCCGACCAGCUCGCUACCUCCUUCAUCACCCCCUUCGGUCCCUACUGCUACGUUAAGAUGCCAUUCGGCCUCAAAAACGUGGGGGCUACCUUCCAGCGAUGCAUGCUGUAGUGCUUCGGAGACCUCAUUGGGCGGACCGUUGAGGCCUACGUUGACGACAUCGUCGUAAAAUCCCGGAGGGGCGACCAGCUCGUUCCCGUCCUUGAACUAGCCUUCGAGAGGCUGAGGGAUAAGCGUAUUAAGCUCAAUCCCAAGAAAUGUGUGUUCGGAGUCCCAAGGGGCAUGCUGUUAGGCUUCAUCGUCUCCGUGCGCGUCAUCGAAGCAAACCCGGAGAAGAUAGCGGCCAUUAGAGACAUGGGGCCGAUCCGGAACAUAAAGGGAGUUCAGCGCAUCAUGGGAUGCUUGGCAGCUCUAAGCCGCUUCAUCUCGCGCCUCGGCGAGCGAGGGCUUCCUUUCUAUCGGCUCCUGAAGAAGACUGACCGUUUCGAAUGGACCAGCGAGGCCCAGGAGGCACUUGACCGACUCAAGGACCUCCUGACGAAGGCCCCGAUCCUAGUCCCGCCUACCGACGGCGAGUCCCUCCUGCUCUACGUCGCGGCGACCACCCAGGUGGUUAGCGCGGCCUUGGUGGUGGAACGAGAAGAGGAAGGACACGCUCUCAAGGUGCAACGCCCGGUGUAUUUCAUCAGCGAAGUCUUGUCCGAGUCCAAGACACGUUACCCGCAGAUCCAGAAGCUCGUCUACGCCAUCCUUAUCACAAAGAGGAAGCUGCGCCACUACUUCACCUCCCACCCGGUAACAGUCAUUUCGUCAUUCCCGUUAGGCGAAGUAAUCCGGAACCCAAAUGCUACAGGGAGAAUCGCGAAGUGGGCGCUUGAGCUCAUGGACCAGGGUAUCACCUACGUCCCCCGCACCGCCAUCAAGUCCUAGGCACUCGCCGACUUCGUGGCAGAGUGGACGGAGAUUCAAACGCCAUCGGCGCCAGAGAAGCAGGAGUAUUGGACAAUGUACUUCGACGGGUCACUGAUGAGGGCCCGCGCCGGAGCGGGUCUCGUUUUCGUCUCUCCCUUGGGCAUGCGCAUCAGGUACAUGAUCCACCUUCAUUUUCCUGCAUCUAAUAAUGUCGCCGAGUACGAAGCCCUCCUCAACGGACUCCGCAUCGCCAUCGAGCUGGGCAUCCGUCGGCUGGACAUCCGGGGCGAUUCCCAGUUGGUCGUCGAACAAGUCAUGAAGGAGUGGAGCUGCCACGACCCCAAAAUGGCAGCCUACUGCAACGAGGUCCGUAAGCUCGAAGACAAAUUCGACGAGCUAGAGCUCAACCACGUCGCAAGGCGCUUCAACGAAGCCGCCGACGAGCUGGCGAAGGCGGCAUCCGAAUGAAUGCUCGUCCCCGACGGCGUCUUCGUUAGCGACCAGUUGAAGCCCUCAAUCCGUUACCCAGAACUGCAGGGGUCGGCGAAGCACCCCCGGCCCUGGGAUCGGGACCCGAGUCAGGGGAGGUCGGCAGCGCGCCACCUGUCCGAGACCCGAGCACCAGCCCCGAGGGGGUCGACAACGCUUUGCCCAACUCGGCCCCGGGAGCCGAUCCGUCCGACCCCGGGGUCAUGGAAAUCACGGCAGAUUCCGCGGCGGGUGCCGACCCCCCGAUCGAUUGGAGAGCCCCAUACAUCGACUACCUCGUCCGCGACACGCUCCCGGCAGACAAAACGGAGGCCCGUAGGAUCGCGCGCCGCGCCAAAUCCUUCGCCAUCAUCGACCAGGAGCUCUACAAGAAAAGCCACACUGGAAUCCUCCAGCGCUGCAUCUCGAUCGAACAGGGAAAGGCGCUGAUCAAGGAUAUCCACGCCGGAGCCUGUGGUCACCACGCCGCGCCAAGGACCCUCGUUGGUAACGCCUUCCGACAAGGUUUUUACUGGCCGACCGCGGUCGCGGACGCUACCCAGGUAGUCCGCACCUGUGAAGGAUGCCAGUUCUUUGCCCGCCAGACUCACCUGCCCGCGCAGGCGUUGCAGACCAUCCCCAUCACGUGGCCAUUUGCGGUUUGGGGGCUAGAUCUCGUCGGACCCUUCAAGAAGGCACCCGGGGGCUUCACCCAUCUGCUCGUCGCCAUCGACAAGUUCUCCAAAUGGAUCGAGGCAAGACCGGUGGCGCAAAUCAGGUCCGAGCAGGUGGUCCAGUUCUUCACCGACAUCAUCCACCGCUUCGGGAUCCCGAAUUCCAUCAUCACCGACAACGGCACACAGUUCACUGGGAAGAGAUUCCUCCAGUUCUGCGACGACCACCACAUCCGAGUGGAUUGGGCGGCCGUGGCACACCCCCGCACGAACGGGAAAGUCGAGCGAGCCAAUGGCAUGAUACUCCAGGGUCUCAAGCCAUGGAUCUUCGACCGCCUUAAAAAAUUCGACGGACGGUGGGUUGCGGAGCUUCCCGCAGUCCUUUGGAGCCUGAGGACGACCCCCAGCCGGGCGACGGGCUUCACCCCGUUCUUCAUGAUCUACGGGUCAGAGGCCAUUUUGCCCACCGAUCUAGAGUACAGAUCGCCAAGGGUCAAGGCAUACGACGAACAGGGAAACCAGGCAUCAUUCGAGGACGCGCAAGAUCAACUCGAUGAAGCGCGAGACGUAGCUCUACUGCACUCGGCUAAGUACCAGCAGGCCCUACGGCGUUACCACAGCCGCAAGGUGCAAGGCUGAGCCUUCAACGUCGACGACUUGGUGCUCCGCCUCGUCCAAGACAACAGGGGUCGGCACAAGUUGACUCCCCCAUGGGAAGGCCCGUUCAUCGUCGUACAAGUUCUACGGCUGGGCACCUACAAGCUGGCAACUCCCGACGGGCAGGUUUUCAGCAACGCCUGGAACAUAGAACAGCUAAGGUGCUUUUACCCAUAGCUUUUAUUUCCAAGCCCUGCAUAAAACUUGUCUUCAAUUCCGAUAUUUCCUUUAAGCUCAGGGGUAUCCGACCCUGGCCUCGUUCCAGGGCCGCAUACCCCUCGGGGGCUACCAGUUUUGCUCCUCUGCGAAAAAAAAGAAACCCCGAGCCGUCUCGGUUCAGGCCUUUUCCUUUAAGCUCAGGGGUAUCCGACCCUAGCCUCGCUCCAGGAUCGCAUACCCCUCGGGGGCUAUCAGAGGUUCCGACCCCAGCCGCUCGGCCCUAUCUAAAAGAAACAUUUUUUCUUUUCAAACCGAACACUCCCUUUCUAGACCUUUGGGCGCAAAAAAGAGAAGGAUGCGCGAACGGUGCUCAGGCAAGUUUGAUCGGACUGCGAAAAAACCUACGCCCCAGCGGCUACGGCACCUUCGCUCAUCAAAACUUAAUGACGCACCCGACAACGCAUUCUAAACUUUCAAGCCCAAAGGAACAGCAAAGGGGAUCGGGAUCUUUCGCACAACGAAGUCAUAAACAAGCCUGUAUGGCCAUCACAAAAUAAGUUCGAAACUAACAUAAUUACAUUUUGGGCACAAGCCCGGUACAGUUAACUUGACGAGGGGUCGGCAGGAGGGAUGACCUCAUCUUCCAGGAGCUUCGCGAGGGCCUCCGCCGGCGCGGACACCGCUGCAUCAAUCCCGUCCAGCUCAGCUUCGGUGUAAUCAGCGGCGUACCCUUCACUCAUCCCGGCAAAGUUGAUGCCAGAAUAAUGGGAGCCGAAGACCCCGAAGGCUCGCCGCAUGCCGACGUGAAGCGCGUCCAUGGCGAUCUCGCGACGUCGACGGCGUACCCCAAGGACACGAGCCGGCAGAGAGCUCGACCCCUCCUCCGGAACUACGCCAAAGUCGUCACAGACGACGCGGACCGCAUCCCGCAAGGCGCCGUGCUCGCCGUGCUCCGCGUCGAGCAAACCCUUCAGCUUGGCGAUUUCGCCUGCAGGAACCACCCAGAAAAGCCCACCAAGUCAAGAACAGAACACAAAAUGUCACGGGAACGCGGGAACGGAAAAAAAAAGCCUCACCGUCGGCCCAGGCCUUCAACUCGCGCUCCCGGUCGGCUCCUUGAGACACGGCGGACUGGAGUCCCUGCACUUGCGAGCGAAGGCGACCAGUCUCCGCGCUAAGGGCUUCACGCUCCCCCCUCAGCUGUGCAAGCUCCCCGGCAUCACGACGGGCCCUCUCAGCGGCAGCUUGAAGCUCCUCGGCGUCGCGGCGGACCCUCUCAGCGACAGCUUGGAACUCCUCGUGGUCGAGGCGGGCUUUCUCGAUGACGGCUUGGAGCUUGGCCUCCGAUCACCGCGCCUCCUCCAACGCCGCCCCCUCACGCCUUUGCAGGUCCCGAAUGACCCCCUGGGCGGCAGUGACUUGCAGGGACAGGUCCCUGGUGCGCUCCCUCUCCGCGUUGAAGCGCUCCCAGAGACCCUGCUGCAGCCGAAGGAAAUCAGAUUUCCCCCGACUGCCCUCUUGGAGGGCCUGCAAAGCAACGUGCCAUUAGAAAAAAAAAAGCAAAAGGGAGGUGCUGAUCACCAACAGUAGGAGCAACAUACCUGGCUGCCAGGGAGGACGGUGUUACCCAGAACCCCCAACGCCGAAGACAGAGCCGCCUCAACGUGGGCAAGGCCGCCCUGCAUCGCCUGCCACUUGUGCCACUCAGUGGCGUCGUCCAGCGUGAAGAGAUGCCUCGGCGGGUCAUCGCGGGAUGACCAGCGAAGGACAGACCCCCUCCACGCCCUGGGAACGGAGGGAGCCGAGGCCGAGGCAGGGGCCGAUCCUGACGCUGCCGUCAAGGUCGGCACCAUUGCACUAGAAGCCGCCGAGUUUACUGACGGCCCCGGCACCUGCACGCUCGUCGCCGCCGAGGCCGCCGGCGGUAUCCCAGUGGGCCCCUCCGCCUCCGCCGCCGGAGCCACUCCCGCGGGGGUAAUUGGGGCGGAGGCCCCCGCCUCCGUCACCGUUGCCUCCGCCGCCGCGCUUUCGGGGGCAGGCGUUCCCUCCGCCACCGAUCCCGCCGCGGCUGCGGGGGCAUCCGCCCUACCUCCCGUCGCCGCCGUCUCCUCUGCCUCGUCGGCGUCGAAGUCGAUCACCUUCCCGGCCUGAGAACCCGGGGGGAUCGUGCCCUGCGCUGUAGGGGCGACUGGGGGGACCGAAGGCGGAGUAGGGUCCGCUCCCCCUCCCACGGCUGACACCGCCGUCGCUCCGCCGGCCGCCACCACAGGGGCCGCCUCCGCGGAGGGGUCCGCGGCCUCACCAGGGACCCCGCCGCUCGCCGCGGGCGGGACCGCGGUCCGCCCCCCAGAGGAGGUUGACAACCGCAACGCCUUCUUAGGCACCAGCUGCAGGGCAAGGCCACGAGGGGCGGCGCUGCAUAUCGACAAACAGACGUCAGCACAAACGAGCGUGAGAAGAGGAGAGGAACGAGGCGCAAGGAAGGCCAACUUACGUCCUUGAAGCACAAGGGCGGCGCGCGCGCUUCGACUCAGAGCCCGACGCCGACCCCGGGGCAUCUGGCAGCGGCCGCUUGUCGCCACUUCGCUGCUCUCCAGUCGCGGGCACGGCGGUGGAGGCAGUCUCUGCAGAUCUCCGAGGAGCACCCUGAGCGGACUCCUGGGGAGCGCCCCGCGCCGGCUCUGAAGUGGCGGCGGGGGCAGGCUCCGAGGACCCCCGAGGGGCGCUCCGCGCCAGCUUUGGGAAGGAGCCCCGUGUCGACCCCUGGGGGGCACCCUUCACCGACCCCUGGGGAGCGUCCCGCGCCCGCUCCUGGGAGGCACCCCGCGCCGGCCCCUGGGGGGCGUUCCGCGUCGACUCCUGGGGGGCGUCUCGUGCCGGCUCCGAAGCGGCGGCGGGGGCAGGCUCCGAAGACCCCCGAGGGGCGCUCCGUAUCGACCCCUGGGGGGCACCCCUUGCCGACCCCUGGGGAGCGUCCCGCGCUCGCUCUUGGGACACGCCCCGCGUCGGCCCCUGGGGGGCGUCCCGCGUCGUCUCCUGGGGACACGCUGUACUGGCCCCUGGGGCGCAGCCCCAGGGCCUGGUGGAGCCGAAGCCCGGGCGGGCGCCUCCUCCACUUCACCUCCCGCGGCCGUCCGCGGGGGUGCCUCACGAAUGGCGAGGGCGCCCGAUCGGAAGGAGGAAAUCAGCUCCUCCUCAUCAUCAUCUUCCUCAUCUUCAUCCUCUUCAUCAUCGUCGUCAUCAUCGUCGUCGUCGUCAUCGAACACGACCGACCCCCUCCGCCGCCGUUGGAACUCCUUAGCGGCCUUCUUCCUCUUCUUCGCCAUCUCGAUGUCCUUCCGGCGCUUCUGCGCCUCGGCGAGGAGACGGUUGUGCGUCCGCCGCUCAACAUCUUCCGGCACCGGCGGGAGCGAGUGCGCGACCCGGGUUAGCGGACCCUACAAACGCAAAGCAGCUCCACGUCAGAGUGACAAUCGCAAGACACGAAGAAAGGAGGAGGACGCCCCAACUCCUUACCAGAUCUAUGAGCCCGCAUCCGGGCGCAUCGGCGGGUGCCCGGGAAUCGGGUACUCGACGUCCUUGUCCUCCAGCGCCUCCCGAAUCCGUUGCCGGAUCUCGGAAGCGACGAGCGCACCCGUCGCCAAGGCGGUGCCCUCGGUCGGCGCGUCGGGGGUCAUGGCGGCAAGCGGUCGGAUUCAGAGCAUCAGUGGCGCCACCCGUCGGGUGUGGUACGCUCCGAUGACCCCGGCGCCGGUGAGCCCGUCCCGCUUCAGCCGCUCGAUGGCCUGCAGCAGGUCGAAGAACCGCUUCUUGUCCUUCUCCACUGGCCCGUACGCCCACACCUCCGGCGCCGCGUCGAUGGUACGGCCGGUGAAAGCCGGCAGGGGGGAGUUCGGGUAGUUCUUCACAUAGAACCACUGGUUGUGCCACCCCUUGUGGGACGCCGAGGUCUUCAUCGUCAUGUUCUCCUUGGAGCGGGUAUGACGAAGGUGGAUCCCGGCGCACCCGAUCGGCACCGGAGGUGACCGCUGCUGGCUCCCUCGCUUCUCCGUCUUCUGGUACAGGCUCACUGUGAAAAAGUAUUUCCACAGCGAGAAGUGGGGCUCAAUGCCUAGGAAUCCCUCGCACAGGGCGACGAACGCCGCAAUGUGCUGGAUCCCAUUGGGUUUGAGGUGCUGGAGCUCGAGCCCAUAGUAGUGGAGGAGCCCCCGAAAGAAGCGGCUCGAGGGAGAGGCGAACCCCCGCUCAUGGAAGUGAGCGAAGGAGACGAUGUAGCCAGAGAGAGGCUCCGGCACCUGCUCCGGGCCCGACAGCAACCACUCAGCCGCCUCCGUCUUCUCGCAGAGGAGGCCUUUUCGCACCAGGCCCUCGGCGCGCGAGGAGGUGAAAUGGGAGAUCCCCCAGGAACCCAUCGCCGGAGGAGGGAGAUCAACGGAGGUGAGAAGAAAGGGCACGGCUUGGAGCAAAGGAAACGAAGCGGGCACGGACAAACUGAACGCUAGGCUGGAGGGCGGAAAGGCUCGAAUGCAGAAGGCGGGCGGAACCGGCGCGGCGGGCUCCCGUUUUUAUAGGAAAGGUACGGGAGAAGCCAAAUCGACGCCCCGGCCGCCAUAAAUGCGGCGCCAGGUACGCCCCUGCCACGCCCGUUUCCUUUUCGAAAACCGCGCGCACGGCCGGCCGCGAAAACAUCCUAUCCUCCUCGAUUCGCGGGAUGGCGCUUCCCAUAACUCCACCUCCCGGAAGGCACGACGUCCCCCACGUUCGGCCCAGACGUCACGACCGCUCCGUUCUGGCCCAAGGCCCACCGAAAGGUAAGAAAGGGAUACGGGGCUGAAAACGCCCCUACGGCCCAUUACGGUCCAGAGGUUCGAAGGCUGGCCCACCGCGGGAUCGACAGCUGCCUCAGGAUAUCUCCCGAGCAAGGGGUGAGAAGGGACGGGUCCACUAGCGGCCAACACCCAGGCAAGCGAAAGCCAAGGGCGUCCCGACCUCACGUUCGAGUCCCGUCCGGUAUAAAGUUCAUGGUUUUUCCACGGGGAAAGGCAACGAGCCCCCGGAUUCGGCCGAACGGACCCGGGAACUAUAUGAACUGGCCGGCGGGAAAUUGUAGUACGCCACCAGCUUGGCCCGAGCCGGACCCCCCCGAACGGGGACCGGGACUCCACUCGAACCUACCUGUUCGCAGCUCAAAGCGAGCACCACGGUUCGUCCAACUAGGAUAACGUGGCACGGCUCAACCCCUCCGUCCUAGCGAACGGACGCUUGAGGGGCAACGACCAAAAGUCGACCUGGCCUCCCGACCGGUCUCCCGCAACGAGCAGGGGCUCGGGGGCUAGCAUCGCAACCAACGACCAUGCGUAUGGUCACGAUUCCCAGGCUCCCCGGCCAAACCGGGAUGAAGCAAGCGCACCAUAAACAAAAUCCACGGAGAAACGGCGAAAGAAGCCUCCGGAGGAGCACUUUUUGCUCCACCACAGGCUCGGGGGCUACUGUUGGGGGGAAAUAUUAACGAUCCCCUAAAUACCGCUUAAAGGAGCAGACGCGAAGGCCCGGGCCCACCUAAGCAUAAUCAAAACUCCGCCUCGCCCGACCGCGGCCUCAGGGUCAGGAACGCCCGACUCCCCUCCACGAGGUUUCCGCCUCGUCCGACUACGGCCCCAGGGUCGGAGGCGCCCGACCCCUCGCCACAAGGUUCCGCCUCGUCCGACCCCAAGCGCAAGGGUCGGGCUCGCUGGGGCCCCCAGGGCAGGCAUCCCCCUCGGAUGCGGACCAGGUGGGCAAGGUAAACAAAUGCUGCGGGUCCCUCCCCCGUCGGGCUCAUCAUAAAUGCGCCGCAGGCCUGGCAGAGGGAGGAAUGACCGUGCUCCUCACACAACCCGCCGCAAGUACCCAUGCACGACCAUACUCUACAAGCUACAGCGCUGGCGGCUCACUCCCAUUCGCCGCAGGGUACUCAUGGCCUGCGCCGACCGGAGCGGAGGAGAGACUCGCCUGUCCUCGGGCCCCGCGCACCCUCGGGUCCCGUGCGCCUGGCAGCUAGGAUGUGACGCCCUCUCUCCAGGAGCCAUCAUCAGAACGGCAGCAUCCACCGUCCUCCCCAACGGACACCGGGAUAACGACGAAACGCCCUCAUCAUAACCCGACGCCGACGGAUGCCGAAGGAGCUAUCUGUAGGGUGCGACGACAGUUGGCGCACGGCCGCCUCCCCCUCCGGCAUGCACGCCGGCGCUCGCCAGGAGCCGGCGGAGGCGUCGGGCGUCUAGGAACUUGUUCCUCCCAUCCUGCCGUAUUUUUUACCGUACUACGUUCACAUUUUACGGUCCUCUUCGCCCGAUCCCAACUGUAACUCUGGCCACUCCCCUUGCGAUAUAAAAGGAGGAAGACAGGGCCGGAGGGGGGAUCGGCUUCUUCCCCCUCAAGCCACAGCACGCUAGUACGCUCCCUGAGAACAUAGGCACAAAGAGACUUGGGACCAGUCCCUCUCUCGUCGGUCUGUAACCCCUACUACAGAACUCCGCGUGGGUAAUACGAGCAUUCACGAUACUGGACGUAGGGCUCCCUUUGCCCGAACCAGUCUAAUUCGUGUCUCCCACGCCACCAUCUGAGGCCUUACGCGCAUAAAAGAAAUUUACUAGUCUAAGUCUUGAUCCGCCAAUCUUGACAACGACAAAUCUAAAAAUCCAUAACUAAUUAAUUUUAAAUCAUAAAAGUUUGAAACUAUUACCCAUCAUCUUUUUCUAGAAUGUUACCUUUUAUGUUGGUUUUUUUGAGUUAUUUGCAUAUUAUUGUCCCCAUCUCUAGUGUUUUAUUGCUUGUAGUCAAACCUACUAUUUAUUUAUUGUUGUUUUGCAUUGUAUGAUUAUUGGAUGCUAUGCGAUACAAAGAUAAUUGUUCAACAACCAUAUGCAUCAUGAAGAAAUUUCCGGAUACGAUUGAUAUUAGUACAUUAUUAACUUCUUAUCAAGAAAUAUCAAUGAAGUGUUUUAUAUGAAUAUUUUUAAUGCACCUUGAGUUUUUGGAUAACCUUUUUCAUAAAAGUUAAUUAGAUGCAUUCUUAACUAAAUAAGCCAUUUGGUAAUUUUUCAAAAAUGUUUAUUUAGGUAACAGAAAAUUUAUUUAUUUAUUCUGGAAAAAGUUUUUUUUUAACGAAGUUAGCAAGGAAAGCACCUACCUAUUCUUUAAUUGUUAUUUUAGAUCCGUUUAAUUCGCUCCCACGAGAAGUUGAAUAUAGACCUGCAGGAUGUUACUCAGGUGCUCUAACCACUAGACUAGAGUCCCUUUCGCUUCUGAAAAAGGUUUUACAAAAAUCUUUUCCCUAUUAUCUUUUGUUAAGUCUGGGAUGUUGCCGCACGUGGGAAAGAAAGAACGGGAAACAUAGACCGAGACCGCUGCUGCGCCGCCACCAUGCUUCGCCGUUGGAGGGUUAGGGUUCGGGGUUUCGGGUUAUGGGUCAUCGAUGGCGCGGCUAUCUCCGAUGUGGCUGGGAUAUAUGGGAGGUUGACGGUGGCUAGGUAGCAGGCGGUGGUGGCGGGUUGUGUGCGGGAUGGCGGGACACCACCAGUUCCGAUUUGUGGAAGACAAUAGGUGGCCUCUAGAGGCAGCGGGGGAAUCUUGGUGAGCUUCCCGCGCGGGGCUGGGUUAGGGCGGCGAAGGAUGGUGGCGGUGGAUGUGGCAGCGCGAGCCGCCGGAGAUGAUGGAGGAUGGCGGCGCGGGCGCGAGCAAAGGAGGACAGUGCGAUGGUGAUCGAGGGUUGCGACCGGCGACGCCGGAUGCAGUGGCGAGAGCCGUCGGAGCUAGAGGAGGAGGGCAGCGCGGGGGCAUGGGCGUGCGCGCUCCUGGGCUGCCAUCACUGAAGGUGACAUUGGUGAUUUUUGUCACCUUCUGUGAUAUAUAGAUAUAGACAUGCUCUAGAUAGAGGACUCCUUGGAGAGACCCCGAGAAUGGAGAUGGGCAUUUGGAGCUCUUCCAAAAUAAGGAAUCUAGAGGACUUGCUAGAAUGCAUUUUUUUUGACUUGGUCCAUUGGAGUUGUUCUAAGCCAACAACUAUUAGCAUCCUUUUAGAUAACUCUGUUAAUCUGAAAUACAACAGUUUCCUACUUUAUGUAUAAUGAGUGUCAUUGCGUCACUACGUACGAGGUCUACUUUAUGGCGGAUCUGAAGGUGUGUUUGGUUGGGAUGUGGCUUUUGGAAAAGCUACUGUGAGCUGUGGGCUGUGAAAAAGUAGCGGGGAGAAAGCAGCUGUGGGAAAAGCAGAAGACCGUUUGGUUAGAGCAGCUACGAAACUGUAGGUUGUGUAAGAAAUACCUGUAAUGCCCCUAAAGGUCUGCGGGUGUGUUUACAUGCAAAUUGCUCAUAACAAAAUAAUGUGUUCACUAAUUCACAUGUAAAUGACUAUUUUAGAAAGGAAAAAAAAUAAAUUUUAUAUGUUCUUCAUCCAUAUAAGUGAUUGGUCCACAUAAAUAGAACAAUAUCCAUCAAAAGGUUUAUACAAUGAUGUCAUCUCUCAACAUUACUGUCCUCCUCUCGCACUAACCAAAGCAUCAACUAUCCUAGCAUGAAUGAUAUUCAUGGUAUCCUCAUUCUCCAUAUCGUCACUCUCAUCUCCUUGUGUUUGUCUCGUGCCACUUGUAUAUUGUACCAAGUACUCCUACAAAACCGAGUUAGUAAGGUACAUAAUAAUACACGUAUUUCUAACUUGAUGAAGGAAUCAUGUAUACCUUUAGGAGGCACGAGAAAUAUGUCUCAAAGCAUUGUCGAGAAAAUUGAAAGAAAAGAUGAUGAACAAAGGAGGGUCAAUUCUUGUUGCUCUUUGGACUAGAGGAUUGACGAUGAUCAUUGCAGUCCUAACAAUUCUCUUGUUGCAGAACAGAGUAGCAACUUCUGAGUAGCAUAUGAUUCUUACAUCUUCCAGGCGAGGUGGCUAGUGUGCUGGAUGAAGUUGAGGUCCCUUGGCAACCUGGCAAACGCCUCCGUCAUGUCUGCAGGCAAAAUUUCCAAAAAAAACAAGAAGAUUUCAACACCACCAACAAAGCAAGCAUGUAAUCACCUGAUUAAUCAAUCAGCAAACAAUUCACAACUAGCAAUCUGUAGAAAUUAGCACGCCAUUACCGUCCUGGGUGAUGAGCGGGUAGUCGGAUGCGUUGAGGUUGACGAACCAGUCCCAGCGGCGGUGAAGGCGGAGCAGCAACGCGACGGCGUGCAGCGUGGUGGUGAGCAUGGUGGGGCCCCGGUAGGUGACGAGGUUGGGCCUGCCGACGAUCCACACGUUGCCCGCGAUCGCGUACACACCCCACCUGGACAUGAGCUCUGCCAGCCGGCAGUGCUCCUCCCCUGGACCGCAGGUAGUUGUUGGCCGGGUGGUACAGUGCCGCCAGCAGCCGCAUCGUGCGGCCCACUUCCCCUGAGGAUGCCGAGAUAAGGUAUGCGAACGAGAUCGGGUACCGCGGCGCCUCGCCGGCGGCACCGUCGAAGGCGGCCAACGAUGAGAGUGUUGACGUCGGUUUUUGACACGUGUCAGGGUCGACGUCAAGAGGAGAAGAAAGUGGCUGAUGCGGUUAAACAAGAAGCUAUGGCUAGAGAAAUCAGUCAGUAAAGCUAUAGUGUUUCAGCCGAUUAGCUAAUGAGAUAGAUGAAGACUGGCCGAUUGGAAGCUAGAAAAGCUCGGCCGAUAUGGGCCUAAAUGGGCCAAGGUGGUAACAAGAUGAAGAUAGGAUUGGCCCAUAGAGGAUUGGAUGGUGUUCGACUCCGAUACAAGUUGUAUCCGUAUGUAAAUAUUUGUUGCUUUGAAUAAGAAAUAGAAUAUUGAGUCAUAGUCGGUUAGGAAACGAGUUGUAACAGGGUAUAAAUAGGUGCCCCGUGAGGCUGGCAAAAACAUCAACAAACAUCAAUACAAAUCUACUUUUUCAUGCAACUUUACUUUCAUGUCGGCGACUUUGCCAAACCCUUUUCUUUUCACGAGUUCGUGUGAGUUGGCAGGGCUGCAUCAACGUGAUCUCCGAGCAAUUUGUAAGUUCCGCGUUUCGAGUAAUAUAUAAGCUUUAACUUUGGGCGUAUCGCUGUUGUUUUGUUUAGAUUUAUUCACUAGUUAUCGAUAUUUGCUAGAAUUAUAGGUUUUAUUCUCCGGUGGAAAGAUUGUGCCUUUGCCUGUAUUUCUCUUGCACUAAACUCAGGCGAUACCUAUUAUCGGCGGAAUGUGUGGUCGCGUGUAAAGUUGAUGUUGUCAAGUAUAUGUUAUCACUGCCGAUCUUGAAGGGAAGGAUUGGAAAAUGUAUUCUGGCACUCUCAGAAUUCGAUCUCAGGUACGAAUCGGCCAAGGCCGUCAAGGGUCAGGUAAGGCUGAUUUCGUCACCCAACACUGUGGAUCAGAAAUUACUGUCGUUGAGCCGGCUCCAUGGACUCUGUACUUCGAUGGAUAUUCGUGUGGGAUUGGAUCAGGAAUCGACAUAAUUCUUAUAUCGCCUCGGGGGGCAAGUUAUGAGUUCUCUCUGCCGAUUGAGGCUUCCGCUACUAAUAAUCAAGCAGAAAAUCGGGCUGUCUUAAAGGGCAUCCAAUUAUUGAGGGAGGUCAAGGCUGACGUGGUAGAAAUAUUUGGGGAUUCCAUGAUUAUCGUGGAUCAGUUGAUUGCAAAGUGUGAGUGCAAGGAUGAUAUUCUAAGGAUUUAUUAUGAGGAAUGCCUCCGGUUGCUCAAAGAAUUCAAGACCGUAACUAUUGAACAUAUCCCUAGGGAUUACAAUGAGGAAGCCAAUAGACUUGCCCAGCACGCUUCUGGCUACUGGCCGAUUCAUGGCGCUUUCGCUCUAGAGCUGGCGGCCGACAACUGGAGGAAGGAGAUCGCCGAUUAUUUAAAGGAUCCAUCCAAGAAAGUUGAUCGGCAGAUACGCUUCCAAGCCACAAAGUAUGUGUUACUUGAAGAUGAAUUGUUUUAUCGGACGAUUGAUGGAGUGUUUCUCAAGUGCCUUAGCAUUGAGGAAGCAAAGAUUUUGAUGGGUGAGAUUCAUGAAGGUCUAUGUGGGACCCAUCAAUCGGCUUUCAAGAUGAAGUCGAUGAUUAGAAACAAUGGGUAUUACUAGCUGACAGUACUUGAAGAUUGUUUCAAAUAUUAUAAAGGCUGUCAGGAUUGUCAAAAAUUUGGCAACGUGCAACGAGCCCCGGCCUCGGCUAUGAACCCGAUAUUAAAGCUGUGGCCAUUUAGAGGCUGGGUAAUUGAUCUCAUCGGUUAGAUCUAUCUGCCGUCAAGCAAAGGGCAUAAGUUCAUAUUGGUGGCGAUUGACUACUUCACCAAGUGGGUUGAGGCGGUUCCUUUGAAUGUUGUGAUGUCGGCCAACAUGAUCGAAUUCAUGAAGGAGCACAUCAUUUAUCGAUUUGGUAUUCCUCAGACCAUCAUGAUUGAUCAGGGGUCAAUGUUUACCUCAGGGAGUUCGAGGAGUUCACUGCCAGUAUGGGAUUAAGCUGUUGAAUUCUUCUCCGUAUUACGCUCAGGCCAAUGGUGUGACGACCCCGGUUAAAUCUUUCGAGUUAAUCUUAAUACGAGCCCCAAAAUUCCUCUGUCUCAGUUUUUCCCGAGCAGGAGUGCUCCACUCCAGUUCCUGUUCCUGACCCGUGAAGACUCUAACUCACCCCGCCAGUUCCUUUUAAGUCUCAACAACAGUGUCCCUUUCAAUCUUGAACAGAGGAAAGACCGAGACUGACGGAUGGACCCGCAAUCUUUUCCCCGGAUCUCCCGAGGCAUACGCACUCGAGCGGCCUGCACCGCUUCAGAGCUCCCCCGCCGCGUGGCUCAACUUCUCCGACGCCCGCCGCUUCACCCAAUCGCCGGCCGGGACAGGAUAGAUUCUCACGCCCUCCUCCCCAAUCGCAGCGGAAGCCCCUCUGCAACCCUUUCUGCUGCGCCUCGUCUCGCUCGCGCCCUCGCCGGCCGCGCCUUGGUGCUCCGACACCGCUGUGGCAGAGCUUUGCCGCUUGCUGCAUCCAAACUACCUCGCAGCUCACGCCCGUCAUCAUCUCACUGGAUCCCCGACUGCAAGGCCCGAUGCCUUCCGACUUUUCCACCGCCUCUACACAGUCGCGCUCGCCUGCGCAGCCGCAGCCUGCCUAUCUUUUCACCGGUUGCAACCUCGCUUGUAGCGCCGUUCUCCCUGUCACACCCAUCAGAUCCGCCGCAUGACGACGCCCGCCUCCGCCAAACCUCAACUACCGGCAAAACCGCGCCUGCGCCGCCUUGUCUCCCGUGCCCAAUAGCCAAGGACCCUAUCUCCGAAAUCCUGUUCCGCCGCCCAUCGACGCCCAGUCGCCGCCAUGGCAGCGCACUCCAUCCUUUUCUUCCGGUCUUCGUGCUACUCCAACUCCCUCUCUCUUUCGCGCAGCUAUAAAAAGGAAUGCCAGAGCCCUACUGGAGAUCCCUUCACCAUCGUUGCCUCGCCGCCUUGUUCCUGAGCGCCGCCACCUAAGUUCUUGAGGAACUCUCAUCUUCGCUCAACACCCGCCCCUCCCAAUCCACCAAGCCGCCUGCUCCUCCACGCUAUGCUAGAGCUUCCUUGUUGCUCACAAGAAGCUCCGCCGCCGCCGGAGCACCGCCGGACAUAGCCGCCACCAAAGCCUUAGUGCUUAAGACCUUCCGCCCAAGUCUACUCCUUCCCGACCCCAAAGCUUCACCUAUAAACCAAAGGUAAGCUGCCGACCCCUUACCGGUUCGCCCGACCCUACCUGUUCGCCUGACCCUACCUGUUCGCCCGACCCCUCUUUCCAUCUCGCCCGACCCUGUCUGUUAGCCGGCCCUUAUCUUCUUCGCCCGAGGACUCGGCUGUACUCUUUUCCUUGACCCGAGGGUAUCUGUGUAAGAUUUCGGGGACUUCUCUGUAAUAGCUUUGAGGACCCCAAACACAUUAAGGCUUAUGGGUCAGAUCAUAAGUUCUUCCAAUUCGACCCUUGGUCUUGUUCUCUAUCCACUGAAGCUUGAACCCCCACACUCUUUCCGUAGCUUUGCUACAAGUUUCUGGGCUAAGACUUGCGAGUGUUGCUGUUGAAAUAACCGUCUAGACACUAACUCCAGCAUUGCAUUCGUGUAGAGUUUCAUCUUGCUGACGGCGUCUACGAACUACACCCGGUGCCAGAAGACGGAGCUGUAGCUGAGCUACCAGUUCCAGAAGCCGAAGUCGCACCAGCUGAAGACCCGCUUCCCUCCCCUCCACUUGAAGGCAAGUCCCGGAGCAUGAACCCCAAAGUUUCCCAAACUUGCGCAUGCCUUCUUUCUCAUGUUUGUGCAUUUACGUAUAGGAGUUGUUUGCAACCUUAGAUGCAUGGUAUAGUUCCUUGAUCGGAACACUAGUUGUUGAAUCGAGUAGUUGCUAUGCUUAAAUAGGAAGUGGUAAAAGUCGAGUGAUUUCCUGUCACUCGCGAGUUAUAGGAGUUGGUUGUUCUCCUUCUGUUACAACUAUAAGGACGAUGGAUGGGGCAAGGUUUUGGUUAACUCUUUUGCUAGUCGGCUGAUCCCCCCGUCUGUCUAUGGAAUCUGUUAAGGCCCGAUAGUGGUGGUGUUCGUGAUCAAGUGUUUGAAAGUACUAAUCUCAUACCUAGUAUGGGAUGGGGAAGCCUAGUACCUGAUUGAACUAGGGCGUGGCUUAUACCCCUGCUGUCCCUGGAACGAGGUUCCCAUGGUGCAUCAUGUGGGUGCAAGUGCGGUCACAGUACGGUAGAGGCCGGGAUUGUGGAGCAUUGCAUGCCAAGGGAAGUUGGACCUGACACGUGCCUGGGAAUUGAUGGGGACGGCUGACACAGGAAGCGACCCUUGUGGUGCGCGGAUGUCGUGAGAUUAGGUUUGCCAUGCAUGGUUAAGAAACUCGAAGGAUUCGUCUGCCUCUCACAGUUUGAGACUGCUUGAUCGCUAUGCUACACUGAUUAAUGAAAGAGUCUGAUGAUGACAUGGUCUUGAUGAGUAGCUUAUAUACAUAAAGUUGGAUCUAUGUUUGCUUAGAGUAAGAUGCCAACGUAGACUGGUUAAUGAACUUAGAAUUUGAGCUAAAACUUGAAAGCAAGGACCUAACGUAGUAGCUUUUGGCAAACAAAACCCCUCAGCCAAAGAGCCUUGCAUGUCUAGACGUGGUGGAGUAGUUUUACCACCGGUCGGUUAAGUCUUGCUGAGCGUAGCAGCUCAACCUUGUUUGUGGCUUUCUUUUCAGGUGAAGUCGCAGCUCCUGAGUUUGCUUCCGUUGGCACUUGGCCGCCCCAGCUCCCUCCGGGUUGGACGGUUGAGUGGGAUCCUUCCUCGGACGGUGAGGAGAGGGAUCAUUGAUGUCCUGAUCGGCCUCAUUAGGGACAUCCGACCCUGGCGCUAGCUUCCGCUAAUUUAGCUUUCCGCUGCUUUUGAAUCUUGUAAAACUCUGAUUUUUGUUUUUAUGUUGAACUAAAUUGUCAAACUUGUUUAACUCAGUGGAUCUGUUGUAUUCUCUGAAACCGCUCACCUUCGUGUGAGUUUCGCUAAUCCGGUCCUGUAAGUGGUUUAAUCGGAGGAAAUCCGACGGCCCUUCGAGUUAACUUGACUAAGGCAUAAGUGUCGCGUGUCAGGCGACUUAACAAUGCUUUAAUCAAGGUAAUCCGAGGUGGUUCCACCACAAAUGGUCAGGCCAAGUCAUCAAAUAAGGGGGUUAUUAAACUGAUUAAAAGGAAGGUCAAAAAACAACCAAGACGGUGGCAUACAACGCCGAAUGAGUCCUUAUGGGCUUAUCGGAUGGCUUGCCGCGGUGCCACCAAGGUGUCCCCUUAUCAGUUAGUAUAUGUGCAUGAAGCAGUAUUACCUUGGGAGUUGAAGACUGGGUCUAGACGUGUGUCACUUCAGAAUCAGUUGUCGGUUGAUGACUAUUCCGCCCUCAUGAGGGGAGAAUUGGAAGAUUUGGCGAAUCAACAGCUAAGGGCUUUGAUCAGCAUUGAGGAAAAUAAGAAAAGAGUCACCAGGUGGUAUGACAAGAAGGUCAAGGUCAAAAGGUUUUCCCAAGGGGAUUUAGUCUGGAAGUUGGUUCUGCUGAUAGUAUGGAAAAUGGUCGCCCACUUGGGAAAGGCCAUAACGGAUUAGCCAAUGUGCUCUAGGCAAUGCAUACAUACUGGAGACUUUUGAGGAAGAAGAAUUUACAAGGGCCUUGAAUGGAAGAUAUUUGAAAAGAUACUACCCUAGUAUAUGUGUAGGCGCUUAGCCGAUGAUGUGGCAUAACGGGCUUUCACGGUCGACGCGUACUGAUUCGUGUUCAUAUAGCCGAUGCAAGGGGCAUCGCCUUAAGAUUGAAAGAGGCGAAAUAGUGUAUAUAUAACUAAACCGAUCAUUAUUCGGUACACCAACUAAAUAUAUGGCCGGCAUGAUACAAGUCGCCCUUAGAUAAAAAGUACCGACACAGUUAUGGGUUACAACGAUUUAACAACGUUUCAUGUGAGCUUUAUUCAUAUCGAUUUCUUUCUGAAGUCGAUCCAAUUCGAUCUGGAGUCGGGCGUUCUUCUCCUCUAGUUCUGCCAUGUCAUCUUCAACAGCAACUUGACAGGGUAACAGAUGGCUUCUUUCGACUGAUUGCCGUGGUUGCCUUCUAGAAGCUUUAGCCUCGAUGUCAUCCACAAUCCUCUUGAUAUUCACGGGGAGGUGAUCUCUGAGUUCCUCACGAUGAGUUUGGAUCAGGUCUUUGUCAGCCUGAGUGAGCGGUUCAUCGGAGUGGAGGAUCUCAAUGGCUCGUUCAAGAUCACGGCUGAGUCGGUUUGGCUACGAGAAGAAUUGAUGAUCAAUUGACAGAGGGAUUGGUCGAGAGAUAGGAGAUUGACUUCGUACCUGAUUGACAGAGGAGGAGGAGGCCAUCUUGGUCGCUCGAUCGAAGAUUUGUAAGCGCGCGCAAGGAAUGGUUGAGUGGGUGUUUUGCGAAUGCCUUCAGAAGGGAUGCGAAGGGUUUGUACUUAUAGAACAGAAUGGCAAUGGACAAAGGUCGGUAAAAGGAGGGCAUUUAAAGAAAGCGACCGUUGAGUCAUAAAAGCUACGUGAGGACUGUUCAGACUUGCAUUUCAGACAAAAACGCCAAAAGUAUCAACGUUACACAAGAUGUUCAAAGGCUGGUUGAGUUCGUUACAACUAUCCGAGGAGAUUGUUUAUGGUCUCAAUCGCUCGCAGGCGAACUUGGUUGGCCACCUCCAACACUCGCCGAUCAUCAUCGGCUGAUCCUAAGACUUCUGGCGCAUUGCGAUGAAGAUGGAUGGCCUCGUGAGUGAGGGAUUGUCUUUCUUGUUUAAAAUCAACGAUGGCGGUUGGAAGAUCUUCAAGUUUCUUUUCUUCGGUAGCGAUAGCCUUUACGACCAGUUCCAUCUCCUUGGUGAGCUCUGCUCUGCGCCAUUUGAGUUGGUCUAUUUCACUGAUGAUGCUUGGAUGAGAAGUCUCAUGGAGACCGAUCUACCGAUGUACGUGUUGUGCACGGUGCUUGUAGGACUCUUCUUCUUGACGCACCAUCUCCAAUUUAGCACGGUCAGCCAUGUGUCGCAAGGCUCUAAACACCGGGACCCGCAUGGUUUCGAUAUAUGCUGCGGGUGUGAGAACCUCUUCUGCGUCUUCUGGGACUUGGCCUUUGAUCUCGUUGAAAAUCCACCGUAUCAGUUUGGCAUCUUCCACCAAUCGACCGAUGUUUUCCUGAAGAAGGGUUCGCAUGUUUUGGAGCUUGGCACGGACAUCUUCUGGUAUUGAGCUCAGAGUUAUUUGGCGUGAUGCAACUUCUUCGUCAUCAGAGACCGCAAUUGCAGAGGAGAAGAGGCUUUUGUUUGGCGUGUCUUACUCCUGCAGGGAUGUGGGAAAGUGUUUUAGCCGAUAAAAGUAAAAAAUCGGCUGGUAGAUAUAGAAGGUUCUUACCUCCUUCAAACAAAUCUCUUCUGCUUGGGUUGGCAGAGUCGUUACUCCCACCUCAGAAGUUUGCGGAGGUAGCUCAUUAGAGGGGGAAGACUUGACAAUGAUCGGCUCUCUAGGCGUAGCUGAUAAUGUGCUUGGACCAGCCUCCUGGAAAAGGAACAAAGGAAUCAUUUUUGAGUAUAAAAUAAUACUGGAUCUAAGUAGAAGUCUCGGUUUUCUUACCUCUCGGACGCGCGCAGCCAACGGUAGCACCAGGGGAAUGACUGACGUAUCUGGAGCGUCCUGUGUCAAGAAUCGUCUGAUUUUAGUUAUCAGAACUGUGGAGACUAAGGGAAGAGCAUGUUCUUUACCUCAAUUUGAAGAUUUGUAGGUAACACAAUUUUAGCUUGAGAAUCGGCCAAUUAAGGAACAGUCUGCUCUAGGAUAGGUUGUACGGCCUGUUGAAAAGAAACAAAUUUAGUAUUGGUGAUACAUAUGAAGAAGUCAGAGCAGAAAGAUUACUCGUGUAGCUUUCACCAAGAGUAACACAAUCGCCGACCCAGCCUCUGAUGCUGCUAGGGGAUCAAUGUCCUGAAUUGCCGACAAUACAUCUGCUUGGAUUGGUGCGGCUGAGGGCUCGACCGAUGUUGCUGCCGAUUGGUGGGUUGUUCGAGUUGUCGUAGAUUCAGUACGAGCUCAUACCCUGCGACUCGUCUUCUUUGUGGUGGAUAUUUUGAGCUUAUGCUUCAAUCGGUUGGUGGCUAUGUCCUCCAUUGAUGGGGCGUGAUAGCCGAUGAGAGGGUACGGUGUGUACGGAUGAUGGGUCUGUAUCAGUCUGCCACUCUAACUGUGCGUUGGAGGCACUUGGCUAUCAACCUGUGCAGGGUAAAAGGAUAAUGAUAAGAAAGUUCUGCAACAUGUGAAAAUUAUUGGUAAGGAAUCGACAAAAAAGUAUUGUUACCUCUGCAUUCGGAUCAGUGUGAGCGGGGUCCAGUUGAUUGCAAUACACUGCAGGGGCCGCACAGGAAAGGUACUGUUUCCACUCGGCCCACCACAAUUUGAAUUGUUGAGUGGAGAAGGGGACCACCAGCCAAGCGCUCAGAUCGAUGGUGUCGGAAUCCGGUGUCAGAUUACACAAUCUGUUGUAUUCCAGUCCUUUUGAAAUCGGUUCUCAAAAUUUCACUCGGCCGACGAAGUGAAUCCGAUUGGUAUUUGUCCCAAGCCAAAUUGCCGAGCUGCUACCGACGGGUUAUAGAACUCAUAUGUUGGAGAGUCCUUGCCAGAGAAGAAAUUUGCCGGUAGAAUCCCAGGUUGAUCAGGGUGUCCAUGAUUCCUUCAUCGAAGGUAUCGGUAGCCUAGUCAAAACAGUCAGGAUUCUAAAAAGUUGGGUUCUCUCUCUGAUAUGGAUACCAAUUCGUCACCUCUUCUUUAAAGCUGUUGUAAAAGCAUCUAAAGUGCUCGGCUAUUCUUGAGGGGGCAAGCUUGCCGCCUGGGAAAGUGGAUACGGCUUCACUAAAGGAAGUACAGCGGCGUCUGGCCAAUGGGUCGGUUUCUGAUUUAACAUUAGGAAAGUCUUGGUCUCAAUCCGCUCCUUGAAGAUUUCGCUCAUAUAUAAGUUGAGCUAGAGAUUGACAAACCACCAAGGACCACCAGGAUUCCUGAUAGGUUCUCCAGAUGAUAGCUUCACGCCGAUGUGAUGCAGCAUGUAAUACACUGACCCUAGUAGAUGCUUUCCCAAAGGGACUGUGGCUCCUCUAACUAGUGCUUCGGCCAAAGCCUGUGUGUUGGAAGUAGGACUGGCUAAUUUACCACAGAAGACAUACCUUUCCUGCCACAUCAUCAAGAAGGUCGUGUGCUCUUUUUCUGUGUUGGGUCCGGUCCUCAUGUUCUUCUCAAUGUAGCCUUUCCAUGUGCUGAUGGCUUUCGUCUCCAGCCGAUGGGUGGGUUUGAUUAAGAAAUCGAAAGGUGAGUCGGUGGAGGAAACAUCGAGGCCAGUCAGCAUCAGAACAUCGGCCAGGGUUGGAGUCAUUGGCCCAUGGUCGAAAAGAAAUGCAUUGAGAGCAUCGGACCAAAAGUAAGAUGCCGCGAUGAGCAGAGAUUCUUUCUUUUCCAUAUGAGAUAGAGAUAAAUUUCUGCAAUGGCCGAUUUUUCGCUCAUCCCAGAAGACUCUGUUGGAAUUUGACAUUCUAAAAAACCAAUCUCUCCAUCCGGGGGUUUGAUUCGGCCAAGACUUGAAAGUGUUCGCCCAAUUGUCUAGUUCCAUGGUCGAUUGCUUAAAAGGGAUCCUGUGAGUUUCUAGUUUAAUCAGAUCGGUUGGGUUAGGAUCUCCCAUAGAGCCAAGAUCGAUGAAUCCAGGGGUGUUGGCCAUGGGAUGGUGAUUCUUUGCCUGAGUUCUUGAGCAAAUGCGAAGAAAGACUAAGAACAGAUCUAAAAUCGCGAAAAGAUGAGGAGAGCCUAGAAGACUUACCUCAGGAACGAAGGUCAUGGUAGCUAUGGGUGCCACCAUUGGAGCUUGGGAGUUGGUGCGGUCGGUGAAGGACGUGAGCAAGUCACUGGAGUGCGCUGGGAUGUGCCUAGAAGUGGCACGAGCAAGGUCGCUGGGGUGUGCCGGGAGAUGAUUCGCUGGAAAGGAAACCCUUUUCGCCCGGAGGAAGAUGAAGCGGCGGAAGAGAUGAGUAUCUGCACGAUGACUCGGGAGAAGGGUAAAUAUGAAAUUUUUACCACGCCGUCUGCGCUAAUUUCGAAAGGAGCGGUUGCCUACAGGUGCUCAGUUCGAAAAAAUGCAAUCAUCAAGGAGAAGAUUUCGGGAGCAAAGAGGGUUUUGCUGCAUUUAUUGUUGCGUCUUUUCUGAAAGAAGGAAUCAGAGUUGAGAAAAUUUCGGAGAAAAAGAUAUGUUUCACUAUGAAGCUGGGAGGCAUGUGUUGAUGCCAGUUUUUAACACGUGUCAGGGUCGGUGUCAAGAGGAGAAGAAAGUGGCCAAUGCGGUUAAACAAGAGGCCAUGGCUAGAGAAAUCGGUCAGUAAAGCUAUAGUGUUCUGACCGAUUAGCUGAUGAGAUAGAUGAAGACUCACCGAUUGGAAGCCAGAACGCUGGAUUUUGACACGUACUUGAAAUCGGUGUCAAAGAAGGAGAAAGGGGGGCCGAUGCGGCGGACUAGAAGCUACAGUUGGGAAUCGGCCGAUUGAAGCUACAAUGUUUCAGCCGAUUGGCGGAAGAAAUUGGUGGAGGCUGGCCGAUUGGGAGUCAAAGCAGUUUGGCCGGUUUGGGCCUAAGGUGGGCCAGGAUGAAUAUUUGCUGAAGAGACAGGCCCGUGGGAAAAUAAUAACCAACUCGAAUACGAGUCGUGUUUGUAACUAUUUGUUGUCGUUUGAAAUUAGAGAUAGAUUCUAGUCGGUUAGGAAAUCAGUUCCAACACGCUAUAACUAGCUACCUCGAGAGGCUUGUAAAAAAAACAACACAUCAAUCAAUACAAAAAAAAUUACUCUUUCCUCGUACUUUACUUUCAAGUCGGCGACUUCGCCAAAACCUUUUUCUUUCACGAGUUCGUACGGAUUGGCAGGGCUGGAUCUACAGGAUCUCCGGCCGAUUCUGUAAGUUCCACUUAUCGAGUAAUACUAAGCUUUAACUUCGGGCGCAUCGCUGUUAUUUUGUUUAGAUUUAUUCACCAGUUAUCGAUAUCAACUAGAGUCAUAGGUUUUACCUGUUAUUUUAGUUUUUAUCACCAAUUAUCCAUCUUGAGGUACGAACUGUCGGUUUUUAUUAUUCUUAUCCUUUAUCAUCACAUAGCCGAUUAGAUCUACUCCAAGUUUUGCUUCUGUAGUGUUGUUUAGGUUGCUGUAAAAGUUUUCCUUAUGAUUGCUACAUGAGUAUCGGCUGUCUUAUAGCCGGUCAUCUCUACGGUAAAUCGGCCGAUUCGCUGAUACGCUCUUCAAGACAGAUCGGAACUCUAGCCGAUCGAAACCCCUAGAAUUUAAUAUUCUUCUUUCCAUGUCAAUCAUUAGGUCAGAUUGACUGGCAUGCCGCGCGAACCGCACUAGGGCAAUAACUCGAACAGGAGCUAAGUAGAUUCUCCUGGGUCGUGUGUCCGACGCUGAGGGUCAUCGGCCAAUUUUCAGCACCAACACACUUUUGGCAUGCCCGGUGGGACCAAACAAGAUCCAACAUGUCGAAGGCUGCUGAGAUCUUUGAAGAUAACGUCCUUGAAGUCAUUGAAGAAAAUCUCAAGGACGAUCAGAAGGAGGAACUGGCGAGGGCUAUAGAAGAAUACAGGAAGACAUGCCUGCAAUCUUUCAUUCGUACCAGAAGCGGGGAGACAGUCAAGAAAGCUCCUCUCUCCACUUCCCGCCAAAUCACCGUCAUCGAGGACUCAGGGAAGAUGUCUGAGAUGAUUCAACAGUCCGUUUAUCAGGCUAUGAUUGACCAAUCCACGGUGAUGACCAACACUGUAUACAACGCCAUCAUCAGCUCCUUGGUUAGCGGCGUAGCUCAGGGGUAUCAGGGACUAGCGUAUGCUCCUCCCAUCGUGGCACCGAUCAGAGGCUUCUUAGCAGCGCCAAACGUGUGUCACUCGACUCCUCAACUAAUGCAGAUGCAACGUGGAGGGUACUACACUUCAAUGCCCCUGGGGUACAAUGGUGCAUCAUUCUAUCAAUCGCAAGAACCGUCUCAUCCUAUGCCAAUUUCAUCCAUACAAUCGCCGCUCUCAAACUCGGCGCCAUGGGGGGUAGCAGCAGCAACCGCCGGUCUGGAUCCGUCAACCAGUUAUGGAAAGUCUCCAGUCCAGGCGUUAUUCCAAUCGGCCGAGGCCGAUAGCCCCGCAAUACCAAACAACCACUUCAGAUAUCGGCAGGAGGACAGGCGCUCUAGAAACACUCAGGGUUGCGGCGUCGAUAAUAUUGUACGAUGAAGUGACAGAUACACUAUGUCAGCAGCCAUCGGCUACUCAGCCGACAACCCAGCCACAAUAUCUGCAGAACACUCCAGUUUAUCACCCGAUCAUGGAACCGCAAAUCCAACAGCACGUACCGAUUCCUCAGCCGGUCGUGCAUCAGCAGCAGGUUGAUUGGACCGCGAAGAUAGCAGAGGUAAUUCAAGAUCAGUUUGUGUUAAAAGCAAAAGUACAAACUUACAUGUACAAGACGCCAUACCCACUUGCCUACGAUCUGUUACCGUUCCCUCAUCGGUACAAAGUCCUUGACUUCACCAAGUUCUCGGGCCUAGACGACACGUUGACUGUCGAGCACGUUAAUAGGUUCAUCAUCCAGUGCAGGGAGGCUGCUACGCAAGAUGCUUUGAUGGUGCGCUUGUUCUCGUCAUCCCUAUCCGGAUCAGCCUUGCAGUGGUUCACUACACUGCCGCCCAACGCCAUCGUUACCUUGGCCGAUUUGGAAAAGCAAUUCCAUAAGUACUUCUAUGCGGGAAUCCACGAGAUGAAACUCUCAGACCUAACUAGCCUCAAGCAAAGAAGCGAUGAGUCGAUGGCCAGCUACAUACAGAGGUUUAGGAAAGUUAGGAACAAGUGCUACACCUUGGUCUGGACUGACACCCAACUAGCCGAUAUCACCUUCCAAGGACUCCUGCCACACAUCAAAGAGAAGUACGCCUCCCAGGAGUUCGAAAGCUUGAGCCAAAUCGUCCAUCGGCUGUCCGGCCAAGAGAUACACCCUUUCGACCAACGAAGGAACUUUCAAAAGAAGGUAGCUUAUGUGGAAGGGUCUGAAUCGGGAGAGAAGGCGGAAAUCGGCCUAGCAGAGUCGGUAAAAGGAAAAAAGCCGAUAUCAUGCCCGUUUGGAAAAAAGGAACCAGAAACAUUCGGCUUUGACACGUCAAAAGCCGACAAAGUCUUCGACUUGCUGCUUCAAGAGGGGCAGAUCAAACUUUCGCCUUACCACACCAUUCCGUCGGCCAAGCAGCUCAAAAAGAUGAAAUACUGCAAAUGGCACAAUACCACAUCCCAAGACAAAAAUGAGUGCAAGAUCUUCCGACAAUAGAUACAAUUAGCCAUUGAGCAAGGAAGACUCAAGUUCGAGGUUCCAGCAAAACCAGUGAAGCCGAUGAAGAUUGAUCAACAUCCCUUCCCCGCCAACAUGGUCAAUGUAGGAAGAAACGCACUCCAAACCAAAGUUUUGAUGUUAGAAUUGGCCAGGAGAAGCGGUGCAGUGGAUCCCAAAAAUCAGGCCACGAUCGGAGAUGUCAAAGGAAAAGGACGGAUGGAAGAAGAAGGUGAAGGAUCAGAAAGGCCACGUCGGCCUGUCACUUCCCAAGACUUACUCAGCAAGUAUCAGCAGCAGCGGGAAGAUUCAAGACGCCACGAAGAGAUGAUGCGCCGACACGAAGAUCACUGGAGGUGCCCGUUUUUCAUCCACUGCUGGGAGAAUAACCUUAGAUUACCGUCGGCUGAUAAUUGCCCUGAGUGCAACGGCCAGUAUCGCAGUGGUCGUCCGUUCAAUAGAUCACGCUCCAAGGAUCGAGGGCUAGAGCCAAUCAGCAGAAAGAGGCACGAGCAAGGAGAUCGGCGCGUUUCAGUGCGUGAUCGGCUGGGGGGUAGAGUUGACCAGCAUAAUCGGCUGGGGGGCAGAACCAGCGCACAUGAUCGGCUGGGGGGUAGAACCAGCGCACAUGAUCGGCUGGAAGAGAUAGCUGACGCCAAAGUCUCAGAUGAGAACCUCCUAGGGUGAGAAUCAGGCUGGGAGCGUGCAAAGCCGCCGAGUAAACCAGUAAACCCCAGAUGGUGCCCAGCCGGUUUGACUAAGUCCUUGAAACGGAGGGUCCAGCGUUUGCACCAAUGGGAGCAGCAAGAAGAAAAACAAAGGUAGGUGAUGGAUAACAAAGGGGACAGGUCUCGAGUAUGGCGUCCUAGAAGAAAAUCCGACGCAGGAGACUAAAAUCAUGAUUCGACAGCUGACUUCAGCAUGAUGUUCAUCUUGCCGAUGGAGUUCAUGCCUCCCGCCGACCGGGACAAUGCGAUAGAGAUAGAGGAGCAAAUGGCACAAUUGGCUCUGGAGCCAAUGACCGCCACUUUUGAGAAACCCGAGGAUUAAAAACGCCAACAUCUCAAGGCCCUGUUCCUCAAAGGACAUGUCAACGGACGACCAGUCACCAAGCUGUUGGUAGAUGGAGGCGCUGCUGUGAACAUCAUGCCCUAUGCUAUGUUCCGCAAAUUGGGCAAAGGUAAAGAAGAUCUAACAAAGACGGAUAUAAUGCUCAAGGAUUUCGAAGGCAACGUAUCUCCGGCCCGAGGGGCACUCUGCGUCGACCUCACCAUCGGGAGUAAGGCCCUACCCACUAUUUUCUUUGUUAUUAAUGGCAAAGGCUCCUACAACAUGUUGCUCGAGCGAGAUUGGAUCCACGCAAACUGCUGCAUCCUGUCUACGAUGCACCAAUGCCUUGUCCAAUGUGUCGGCGACAACAUCGAAGUAGUCAUCGCCGAUUCCACCUAUAGCGUUGCCACGGCCGACGCACAACAGUGGAGCUACGAUCACGUCAAAUUCAAAUAUGGUAGGGUUUGGGACACCAAUUUCCUAAAGGUGUCCGAUUUCGGUCUACAGCCAAUCCAAGCAGUCAGCUCUAAAGAAUCAAGUUAAAAUGGAUCAGUUCAUCUGAGAAGAUGGGAAGCUCGGGCACGGGUUUACGUCGGCCGAUUCAUUGGAGAUGGUGGACCUUGGAGAUGGCAACAAGCCAAAGCCGACGUAUAUUCGUGCUAGGUUAGAACCCGAGUAUAAGCAUGAAUUAAUGAGUCUUUUACGAGAAUUUAAAGAUUGCUUUGCUUGGGAGUAUCAUGAGAUGCCUGGUCUAGACCGGUCCAUCGUCGAACACCGGUUGCCUAUAAAACCAGGGCAUUGGCCGCAUCAGCAACCUGCACGACGUUGUAAUCCUAAAAUUUUACCUGAUAUAAAGGCCGAGAUUACAAGAUUAAUUGAAGCAGGGUUUAUUCGGCAAUGUCGCUAUGCCGAGUGGAUUUCCAAUAUUGUGCCCGUAUACAAGAAAAAUGGAAAGUUACGUGUGUGCAUUGACUUCAGGAAUGUUAAUCAGGCUAUGUCGAUGGAUGGAUAUCCGAUGCCGAUGGCUGAUGUUUUAAUAGACGCCACCGCAGGACACAAAGUCAUCACCUUCAUGGAUGGUAAUGCUGGGUACAAUCAGAUAUUAAUAGUCGAAUAAGAUAUUUCAAAGACGGCUUUCAGAUGCCCAGGCCACCUCGGUUUGUUCGAGUGGGUAGUAAUGAGUUUCGGUUUAAAAAAUGCUGGAGCUACGUACCAACGGGCUAUGAAUUAUAUAUUCCACAAGCUUAUUUGUGUCCUGGUGGAGAUCUACAUUGACGAUGUCGUGGUCAAAUCAAAAGGGUAUCAGGAACACCUGGCCGAUUUGCGAAAAGUGUUGGAAUGCACAAGAAAGCAUGGGUUGAAGAUGAAUCCAAACAAAGUGUGCCUUCGGCGUUUCGGCUGGACAGUUUCUGGGAUUCAUGAUUCACGAGCGAGGCAUCGAGAUCAAGCGAAAAAUUAUAGUUGCUAUCAACAAAGUCGUGGGCCCCCAGAAUAAGACUGAGCUACAGUACUUAAUCAGCAAGGUUAACUUCAUCCGACGGUUCAUAUCUAACUUGUUCGGGCGUAUUCAAGCUUUCACCCCUUUGUUGAAAUUAAAACCCGAUCAAGAAUUUGUAUAGGGUAAGGAAUAGCAGAAAACAUUAGAUGGCAUCAAACAAUACCUAGUCUCGCCACCAGUAUUGGUUCCGCCGCAGGCCAACAAGCCAUUCAAAUUAUACCUAUUGGCUGAUGAACGAGCUAUUGGGUUGGCGCUGGUCCAGGAAUGUGAAGGAAAAUAAAGAGUAAUCUAUUAUGUCAACAGAAGACUCCUGAACGUUGAAACUAGAUAUCCUCCGGUGGAACGGCUGUGCCUUUGUCUAUAUUUUUCAUGCACCAAACUCAGGCACUAUCUGUUAUCGGCAGAGUGCAUAGUCGUUUGCAAAGAUGAUGUGGUCAAGUACAUGUUGUCAUUGCCGAUUUUGAAAGGGAGGAUUGGAAAGUGGAUUCUAGCUCUCUCAGAGUUCGACCUGAGGUACGAAUCGGCCAAAGCUGUCAAGGGGCAAGUAAUGGCCGAUUUCGUGAUCCAGCACUGUGGACCAGAAAUUACUGUCGAACCAGCUCCGUGGACACUAUACUUUGAUGGGUCUGCGUGUGGGGCCGGAUCGGGAAUCGGCAUCAUCCUCAUAUCGUCUCGAGGGGCAAGUUAUGAUUUCUCUCUGCCGUUUGAGGCGUCCGCUACUAAUAAUCAAGCGGAGUAUCGGGUUGUUCUAAAAGGUAUCCAAUUAUUAAGAGAGGUCAAAGCUGACGUGAUGGAAAUUUUUGAGGAUUCCAUGCUCAUUGUAGAUCAAUUAACUGGAAAGUCUGAAUGCAAGGAUGAUAUCUUGAGGAUUUACUACGAAGAUUGCCUCAAGUUAUUGAAGGAGUUCAAGUCUUUGAUUAUUGAGCAUAUUCCCAGGAAUUACAACGAAGAAGCCAAUAGACUUGCCCAACAUCCUUCCGGGUAUCGGCUGUGUUGACGCCAGAUUUUGACACGAGUAAAAUCGGCGUUAGAAGUGGAAGAAAUUAGGAGAUGCGGCGAGAUACAAGGGCAACGAUUGGAAAUCGGCCGAUUGGUGCUACAGUCAAGGAUCGGUUGGUUGGUGCUGCAGUCAAGGAUCGGCCAAUAGAUGCUACAGACGAGGAUCGGCCGAUUGAUCCUUAGAGUUCCGCCUCGCACGACCCCUGGUUUGGGAUCGGACACGCCCGACCCUCCAAGGGAGGAUCUCCGCCUCGCCCGACCCCUGGUUUGGGAUCGGACGCGCCCGACCCUCCAAGGGAGGAUCUCCGCCUCGCCCGACCCCUGAGGUUUGGGAUCGAACGCGCCCGACCCUCCAAAGGAGGAUCUCCGCCUCGUCCGACCUUAGUUCCCAGGGUCGAAAUGAGUCUGAGCCCUCGAUAUGUGGGUCCUGAUCGGUUACCCCCCUUGCCAAAGAGGUGAUCGGCCGAUUAGGAGGUUGGAAUAGUUGGGCCGAUGUGGGCUCAAGAAGGAUUAUGAAGAUGAAGAGGGGGUCAGCCCAUGAAGCGCGUGAAAAUAGUACGAAUCGUACUUGUAAAUAUUCGUUUUCUGUUUAAAUUUAGGGAUAGAGUUCUAGUCGGAUAAGAAGUCGUUUGUACGGGGCUAUAAAUAGCCACCGUUGUAGAUCUGUAAUCAUCAUCAACUCAAUACAACAAACUACUAUUUCCUCGUACUUACUUUCAAGCAGGCGACUUUACCAACACUUUUUCUCCUUUUUCACGAGUUCGUACGGGUUGGCGGGGCUGCAUCAACUUGACCUCCGGCCGAUCUUGUAAGUUCCGUUUAUCGACUAAAUUCUAAGCUUUAACUUCGGGCGCAUCGCUGUCAUUUCGUUUAGAUUUAUUCAUCAGUUAUCGAUAUUUACUAGAAUUCUAGGUUUUACCUGUUGUUCUAGUUUUAUCACCAAUUAUCCAGCUAGGAAUCGGUAAAUUCGGCUUUCUUUAUACUUCUCUGUCUAAUCUAUUUAUUUUAGCCGAUUAGAUCUGUUCCUAGUGUUGCUACUGUAGCGUUGUUUAGAUUACUCUAGCAGUUUUCUUUAUAAACGUUACCUGGUAAUCGGUUGCACUAUAGCCGAUUUCCUUAUUACGGCAAAUCGGCCGAUUCGCUGAUAAGCUUUCUUGAGAUCGGAACCUUAGCUGAUCGCAACCUCUGGGAACUGACACGUUUAUUUCCUUGCCAAUCAACAGUUCAGAUUGGCUGGCUCGCCGCGCGAACCGUACCAGGGCAAUCACCCGAACAGGAGUUAAGCAGAUUCUCCCGGGUCGUGUGUCCGACGCUGGGAAUUCGGUCAGCUGAUUUCUAGUGCCAACACACUUUUGGCACGCCUAGUGGGGCCAAUACAACCGCCACCAUGUCGAAAGCUGCUGAAGUCUCCGAAGAUAACAUCAUCGAAGUGACAGAGGCAGAUCUCAGGGACGACCAGAAGGAAGAACUAGAGAGGCAGACAGCAUACUACCGGAAGACAUGUCUGCAGUCCUUCAGUCGCACCAGGAGCGAGGAGACUAUCAAAAAGGCUCCGUUUCCAACUCCCCGCCAGAUCACAAUCACCGAGGAUUCGGACAAGAUGUCCGAGAUGGUCCAGCAAUCCGUCUAUCAAGCUUUCAUUGAUCAAUCCCCGGUGCUUUCUAAUACGGUAUACAAUGCCGUCAUCAGCUCCUUGGCUAGUGGUGUAUCUCAAGGGUACCAGGGGCCGGCAUAUGUUCCGCUGAUUAUGGCUCCGAGCAAUGCGGCGACAUGAAGAUCACUGGCGAUGCCCGUUCUUCAUCCACUGUUGGGAAAGCAACCUUAGGUUGCCUUCGGCCGAUAAUUGCCCCGAGUGCAACGGCCCGUAUCGUAACAAUCGGCCGUUCAGCAGGUCUCGCUCCAGAGAUGGGAGAUCAGAGCCGAUCAGCAGGAACUGGCGCGACCAAGACAACCGGCGCCCUCCAGUACGUGAUCGGCUGGGGGGCAGAAGUGACCGGUAUGACCGGUCGGAAGGCAGGCGCAAUGAUGGGCCGGGGGCAGAUUUAAUCGACGUGACCGGCCAGAAAAUAGAGUCAGCGUCCACAGACGACUUGAAUAGAUGGCCGAUGCUCGGGUGUUAGAUGAGAACCCUUUAGGACGCGAACUAGAAUGGGAACGCGCCAGGCCACGAACCAAACCGGUGAACCCCAGGUGGUGCCCCGAUGGAUUGACCAAGUCUCAAAAACGAAGAAUCCAACGUCUCCGCCAGUGGGAACAGCAGGAAGAAGAGCAACAGUACACGACGGACGAGAAGAAAGGCAGGUCUUAGGUAUGGCGCCCCAAAAGAAACGACAGAGGAGGCGACAAAUCAGCAGGCGAUGAAUCGGCAGCCGAUAUCGACAUGGUCUUCAUACUGCCGAUGGAAUUCAUGACUCCUGCCGACCAACAGGACAUGUCAGCAAUAGAAGAGUAGAUGGCGCAAUUGGCUUUGGAGCCAAUGACAGCCACAUUCGAGAAGCCCGAAGAAGACAAACGGCAACACCUGAAAGCGUUGUUUCUUAAAGGGCAUGUCAACGGCCGACCCAUCACCAGAUUACUGGUAGACAGAGGGGCUGCAGUCAACAUCAUGCCGUACGCCAUGUUCCGGAAGCUAGGGAAGAGCAAUGAUGACCUGACCAAGACAGACAUGAUGCUCAAGGACUUCGAGGGCAACGUAUCCCCCGCUCACGGCGCUCUCUGCGUCGACCUCACCAUCGGCAGUAAGACCCUUCCUACUACUUUCUUUAUUAUUAAUGGCAAGGGGUCCUACAACAUGCUACUCGGCCGAGACUGGAUACAUGCAAAUUGCUGUAUCCCAUCUACAAUGCAUCAAUGCCUCGUAUAGUGGGUCGGCGACAACAUUGAGGUGGUCACCGCCGAUUCCGCAUACAGCAUCGCGGCAGCCGACACGCAACAGUGGAGCUGCGAAACCGUCAAGUGCAUAUCCGGGAGAGUAUGGGAUACUGACUUCUUGAAGGUGUCCGAUUUUGGCCUACAGCCGAUCCGAGCAGUCGGCUCUGAGGACUCAGAUUAAAUGGAUCAGUUCACCCGAGAAGAUGGGAAGCUGGGACAUGGGUUCACGUCGGCCGAUUCAUUAGAAAUGAUAGACUUAGGCGAUGGCACCAUACCAAGGCCGACAUAUAUUAGUGCAAAUUUAGAUCCGGAAUACAAAUGUAAACUGACAAGUUUGUUAAGAGAACUUAAGGAUUGCUUUGCUUGGGAAUAUCAUGAGAUGCCCGGAUUAGACCGAUCUAUCGUUGAACAUCGGUUACCCAUAAAGCCAGGGUAUCGGCCGUAUCAACAGCCUGCACGGCGGUGCAAUCCUAAAAUCCUACCGGACAUAAAGGCCAAAAUAACGCGGCUAAUCAAAGCAAAAUUUAUUCGGCAAUGCCGUUAUGCCGAAUGGAUCUCCAACAUUGUACCAGUAUAUAAGAAGAACGGAAAGUUACGCGUAUGCGUCGAUUUCAGGAACCUCAAUCAGGCCACACCAAUGGACGGAUACCCCAUGCCGACGGCUGAUGUACUGAUAGAUGCCGCCGCGGGACACAAGGUUAUUAGUUUCAUGGAUGGAAACGCUGGGUACAAUCAGAUACUUAUGGCCGAAGAAGACAUAUCUAAAACGGCCUUCAGAUGCCCGGGUCACCUUGGUUUAUUCGAGUGGGUGGUAAUGACUUUCGGCUUGAAAAAUGUCGGCGCUACGUAUCAGAGAGUCAUGAACUACAUAUUCCACAAACUUAUCGGCAUACUAGUAGAAAUCUACAUCGACGACGUCGUAGUCAAGUCAAAAGGACACCAGGAGCAUCUGGCCGAUUUACGACAGGUGUUGGAAUGCACUAAGAAACAUGGGCUGAAGAUGAACCCGAAUAAGUGUGCCUUCGGCGUAUCCGCCGGACAAUUCUUAGGAUUCAUGGUGCACGAGCGGGGAAUAGAAAUCAAUCAGAAGACUAUAGCGGCCAUCAACAAAAUUGUGGCCCCGCAGAAUAAAACUGAGCUGCAAUCUCUAAUCGACAAGAUGAAUUUCAUCAGGAGGUUCAUAUCUAAUUUGUCUGGGCGAAUCCAAGCCUUCACACCAUUAUUAAAGUUGAAGCCCGACCAGGAGUUCGUAUGGGGGGAAGAGCAACGCAAGGCAUUGGAAGAUAUCAAGCAGUACUUGGUCUCACCACCGGUAUUGGUCCCUCCUCAAACUGGUAAGCCGUUUAAACUAUAUUUAUCAGCCGAUGAACGAGCUAUUGGGUCGGCUCUGGUCCAGGAGUUCGAGGGAAAGGAACGAGUAAUUUAUUAUGUCAGUAGAAGACUUCUGGACGCCGAAACAAGGUAUCCUCCAGUGGAGCGGUUGUGCCUAUGCCUUUACUUCUCAUGUACCAAACUCAGGCACUAUUUGCUAUCAGCGGAAUGUGUGGUCGUAUGCAAGGACGACGUGGUAAAAUACAUGCUGUCACUGCCGAUUUUGAAAGGAUGGAUCGAAAAAUGGAUCUUGGCUUUGUCGGAGUUUGACCUUCGAUAUGAAUCGGCAAAAGCCGUUAAGGGUCAGGUCAUGGCCGAUUUCGUUGCCCAGCACUGCGGGCCAGAGGCUACCUUCGUAGAACCAGUACCUUGGACCUUAUACUUUGAUGGAUCGUCAUGUGGGGCCGGAUCAGGAAUCGGCAUCGUCCUCAUAUCGCCUCGGGGGGCAAGCUAUGAUUUCUCUCUACCGAUAGAAGCAUCCACCACUAACAAUCAAGCAGAGUACUGAGCUGUACUGAAGGGAUUACAAUUGCUAAGGGAAGUCAAAGCUGAUUCCGUCGAAAUUUUUGGGGAUUCCAUGCUUAUCGUGGAUCAGUUAACAGGGAAAUCCGAGUGCAAGGACGAUGUAUUGAGGAUUUAUUACGAAGAUUGCCUCCUGCUUCUGAAAGAAUUCAAGUCGGCAGUUAUCGAGCACAUCCCAAGGAAUCACAACGAGGAUGCCAACAAGCUCGCCCAACACGCAUCUGGGUAUCGGCCGAUUCAAGGCGCCUUGGCUCUAGAGCUCGCGGCCAAUGACUGGCGAAAGGAGAUUGCCGAUUACCUGAAAGAUCCGUCUAAGAAAGUGGAUCGGCGGGUAUGUUUUCAUGCUACCAAAUAUGUGCUACUGGAAGACGACUUGUUCUACCGAACAAUUGAUGGCGUCCUACUCAAGUGUCUAGGAACGGAGGAGGCUAAGACUCUGAUGGGAGAAAUCCAUGAAGGAGUGUGUGGAGCCCACCAAUCGGCACAUAAGAUGAAAUGGAUGAUUAGGAAUAAUGGGUAUUACUGGCCGACGAUCCUCGAAGAUUGCUUCAAAUAUUAUAAAGGAUGUCAGGAUUGUCAGAAAUUCGGGAAUGUCCAACGUGCGCCCGCAUCGGCCAUGAAUCCCAUUAUCAAACCAUGGCCGUUCAGAGGUUGGGGGAUAGACCUCAUCGGCCAAAUUUAUCCUCCGUCAAGCAAAGGGCACAAGUUCAUUCUGGUGGCCACUGAUUAUUUCACCAAGUGGGUGGAGGCAAUUCCGUUAAGGGCCGUGACAUCGGCUGCUAUGGUUGACUUCGUAAGAGACCAUAUCGUCUACCGUUUCGGCAUCCCCCAGACUAUCACGACCGAUCAAGGGACAAUGUUUACAUCAGGAGAAUUCGAGGAGUUCACAGCCGACAUGGGAAUCAAAUUAUUAAACUCCUCUCCGUAUUAUGCCCAAGCUAAUGGCCAGGUCGAAUCUUCCAACAAGGGGAUAAUUAAGUUAAUCAAGAGGAAGAUAGAGGAGCAGCCGAAAAAGUGGCAUCUAUGUCUGACUGAAGCUCUAUGGGCAUACAGGAUGGCUUGCCAUGGGGCCACUAAGAUGUCCCCUUAUCAGUUGGUGUACGGUCACGAGGCAGUACUACCAUGGGAGUUGAGGGCAGGAUCGAGACGCACUUCGCUCCAGGACCAGUUAGCGGCCGACGACUACUCCUCACUCAUGAAAAGGGAACUUGAUGACUUGGCUGGCCAACGAUUGAGAGCUUUGAUAAGCAUCAAAGAAAACAAGAAGAAAGUGGCCAGGUGGUAUGAUAAGAAAGUCAAAGUCAAACAAUUCUCUCCGGGGGACCUGGUAUGGAAGUUAGUGUUGCCGAUCGGGUCGAAAGAUCCUAAAUUCGGUAAGUGGUCCCCUACGUGGGAAGAGCCGUAUAAAAUCGGCAGAUGUGCUCCAGGAAACGCUUAUAUUCUGGAAACAAUCGAAGGAGAGAAGAGUUUACUAGGGCUUUGAACGGAAGAUACUUGAAAAGGUACUACCCUAGUAUAUGGGUCGGAGCAUAAGGAUCGACCAUGAUGAACAACACACAGCCAAUACAAAAGGAUUCGUCUAGAGAAAAAAACGUAAUCGUCCAAAUCGGCCGAUGUAUUUCAUUCGGUACGGACGGUGGGUUACACGGCCGACAAGGUACAAGUUGCCCUUAGAACAAAAAAAAAUUAAUCACGCUUUUUCUUAAGCUCUCUCUCAGCCCGACCUAGUUCUAUCAGAAGACGGAUGUACUCUUCUUUUAUCUCUUUCAUCGAAGCCUCCGCUUCGACUUGACGGGGGAGAGGGUGACUCCGGUCCAUGGCCGGGCGUGAUGUUCCUACUGCUGCAUCUUCAAGGACGAUUUGAUGAGGAAGCGGAUGACUUCUGUCGGCUUGAGGUCGCCGGUGGUCGUUGCUGUCCAGAAAGUCCCAGAUCCAUCGGAUGUCGGCAGGGACGUGCUCUUGGAGUUCGUCGCGAUGAGCUCUGAUUAAAUCCUUAUCUUCUUGCGACAACGGUUCAUCGGAGUGUACAAGUCCGAUGGCUCGUUCGAGUUCGGGGCUAAGGCGCCGUGGCUGCGGAAAGCAACAAUAUACAUAUAGCUGCCGAAAAGGUGAUUCCCUUCAGAAGAGCUAAACUAAGAAAGAGAAUGAAGGCAAAUCUUUUACCUGAUUAACGGAGGAAGAGGUAGAGGAUGGAGAAGACAUGACUGAAAGGCGCACCGACGUGAACAGGUCGAGGAAGAUGAAGCCGAGUUAGAAAGGUACUCUCGGAACGGUCACCUAGGCCGGUGUUUAUAGGAAAGGAAGGCAUGGAUGUUUGGUAAGACGCGUCCCAUCGGGAGUGUGAAAGGUAAUAAAUAAGGGGGCGUCGCGAAGGACGGUCAAAGGGAUCAUUAAAUGUUCGUACAAGAACUGCCAGCACUUUUACAGGUCACCCAGAAGGGCAUCGAUAGCUGCGAUCGCUCGACGCCGGAUCUGAUCGGCAGAGUCCAGGACCCGUUGGUCAUCCUCUGCCGAUCCGGGGACUUCUAACAUAUGGCGGUGGAGUUUGAGGGCCUCGUGAGCCAGAUGCUGCCUCUCUCGUUUCAGAUCGGCAAUGACAGAAGGGAGUUCCUGAAGCCUCUUCUCUUCGGCGUCUAUUGCUUUGGUCACCUGCUCCAUCUCCUUGGCAAGCUCUGCCCUUCGGCGUUUGAGGCGAUCUAUCGUGCCGACGAUCCCCGGGCGAGAGUCUUCCAGAAAGUGAAUCCGUUGAUGCACCUCUUGAGCUUGACGCUUGUACGUGUCUUCUUCUUCACGAGUUUUGGUCAACUUGACGCGAUCGGCCAUGUGGCGCAGGGCCCUAAAGACUGGAAUCCUCAUUGACUCGAUAUAUGCAGCUGGCGCCAAGGCCUCUUCCGCUUCUUCUGGUACUCGCCCGCUGACGUCACCAAAAAGUUGUUGAAUCAGCGAAGCGUCUUCUACCAAUCGGCCGAUGUCCUCUUGAAGAAGGGAUCGGAUGCUUGCGAGUUUGGCACGGACGUCAUCAGGAACGGAGCUCAAAGUGACCUGGCGAGAGGCGACUUCCUCAUCAUCGGAGAGUGCGACCGCAAACGAGAAAAGGCUGUUGUUGGGGGUGUCCUGUUCCUGAAAAAUAGUGAGUCAAGAAGAAGAACAAAUCAGCCGAUGAUGAUAGCAAAUCGGCUGAGUAAGGGUGAGAAAUCUCUUACCUCCUUGAAACGGAUUUCUUCAAACUGCGUUUGGGAGGCUGUUAUCCUCGAUUCAGGGGCUGGUACCAUUGGUUCGUCAGAAGCUGAAGACUCCACCAUGAUUGGUGCUUUGCUCGGGCCAGCUUCCCGAAAGAUGACCAUUGGUUGGUUAGGUGGGGCGCUAAGCGUACCGGUGACCUGUGUCAAAAGAUUGAAUAAGAAUAUUAUCCAAAUACUAGAAAAAUCGGUUGAAGAGUAGUAUACCUCGGCAGACGGAAGCGUGGGCGUGUUGAUGACCGAUUGGGUUGCUGCCGAUUGUUGUGAGUCCACAGAAGUGAUUUGUGUAGUCUAAAAUAAGAUGAGUCAGUAUAGAGAUGGCAAUCGGUAGGAUCAAACAACAAGUUUACCUGCAUGGCCUCCACCAGUAAUGAUGCAGCGGCCGCCCCAGCUUGCGUGACGACUUGAGUAUCUACUUCUCCAGCAGCUGGAAGGGGCAAUGUGGCCGAAGUUUCUGCCGAUGUGAUCGUAGGAGGGUCGGCCGGUUCUGUACGAGCUCGCACUCGGCGACUGGUCUUCUUGGUAACCUUCUUCUGCGCCUGCUUCGAUCGGCCGGCAAUCACAUCCACGGAAGGGGCAUCGUAGCCGAUAAGGGGGAAGAUGGUGUAUAGGUGAUGGUCCUCUAUCGGCCGGCCACUCCGACUGUGUGUUGGGGGAACGCAGUUUUCAGACUGAAGCAACAGCAAGAUGUUAGUGUACAUAUUUAACCGCAUUAAUAAAGGAAUGAAAAUCAGUUAGGGAAAAAAAAUACCUCGGUGUUCGGAUCGAUGUUGGCUGGAUCCAGGAGGUUGCAGUAUGUCGAUGCGGAGGCACAGAAUAGGUACUGUUUUCAUUCGGCCCACCAUAGCUUGAAUGGUUGGACAACAAAGGGGGCUACUAUCCAGUCAUUCAAGUCUAUGGUACUGGAGUCUGGUAUCCGGUCUCGCAGCCGACUAUAGUCAAGACCCUUGGUGAGCUCAUCUCUGAACUUUGCUCGGCCGACGAAGUAUGCCUGAAUCGGCAGUUGACCCAUGCCGAAUUGCCGAGCUGCAACGGAGGGAUUGUAGAAUUCAUAUGUAGGGGCAUCCUUUCCUGAGAAGAAGUUGGCCGGUAAGAUCCCCGGUUUAAUUAGUUCAUCUGUGAGAUCUUCGUCGAAUCAGCCGGUGGUUGAGUCGAAGCAAGAAGGGAGUUCAAAGAUUGGGUCAUCUCUCCAAUAAGGAAACCAGACGGUUGCAUCUUCAUUGAAGCCGUUAUAAAAACACUGGAAGUAUUCGGCCACCUUGGUAGCAGAGUACGAGCAACCAGAGAAGGCCGAUGCCGCUUCGCCGAAAGACAUACACCGGCGUCGGACAGUGAGAUUCUCUGCCGAUUCGACGCUGGGGAAUGUCAUGUGUUCCACUCGCUGCUGAGAGAUCUCGCUCAUGUACAAGUUCAGCCAUAAGUUAAUGAACCACCAGGGUCCACCUGGGUUUCCAAUUGGCUACCCUUGGGAUAGCUUGAUGCCGAUUUGGUGAAGCAUGUGGUAGGCUGCUCCCAGUAAGUGCUUUCCAAGAGGAACAGAAGUCCCUAUUGAUAAUGCUUCGGCCAGAGCUUGGGUAUUGGUAGAUGGACCAGCUGCUCUCCCACAGAAGAAGUGCUUCUCUAGCCACAUCAUCAGGAAGGCCGUGUGCUCUCUGUUGUCGACAGAUCCGGCCCUUUUGUUGCAUCUGAUGAAACCUUUCCACCUGCCGAUUCCCCUUGUGUCCAGCCGAUGUGAUGUUGCGGUUAUAAGGCGGAAAGGGGUGUCCGGGGAAGAAAUAUCCAGGCCGGUCAGGAAGACUACAUCGGCCAAUGUGGGGGUCAUGGGUCCGUGUCCAAACAGGAAUGCGUUGAGAGCAUUGGACCAGAAGUAAGAAGCUGCCACCACUAAUGGCUCAUUCCGUUCCAUUUGGGACAAAGAUAGAUCGAUGCAUUGGCCAAUUUUGAGCUCGUCCCAUUGGACCUUCUUGGAAGCGGUUAUCCGCUGGUACCAUUCCCUCCAACUGGGAGUUUCGUUCGGCCAAGACCUAAAGGUACUCAACCAGUGAUCUAGGUCCAUAGUUGAUUGUUUGAAGGGGAUCCUAUGGGUUUUCCAAAUUGAUUAAGUCGGUUGGAUCUGGAUUUCCCAUGGGUCCAAGACAGAUAAGGCCGAGGUUUUCUGUGAGACGAAUGGUGAUGCGAUGCCUAACCGCCUAAAAAGGAAAAGGGGGUGCGAGGGUAAGAAAUAGAUCUAAAGUACAUGCAUUACUAAUAAGGGAAAGUUUCGGUAAUGACCUCCGGGAUGAAGCUCCUCGUAAUCGGCGGAGUCGCCGGUGCAGCUGCAGACGAUGAAGCUGCCAAUGGGAUCUCGGAUGAAGCUUCAACUUUCGCCAAUGGAGCUCCUUCUUCCGUCGAUGGAGCCGUCGUUAUCGCUACUGGAACCUCCGCCGAAGGCACCAUUUCUGGAGCUUCGCGCAUUGGUGAGGUGCCUGAAGGUGCCGCCAUUGGAAAAGUAGGAGGCAAUGCGAAAGGAAGGAGGCGCUGGAGAAUUGGUGGACUAAGGAAAGUGUUGGAGGAAGAAGAAAGCCUGUGCACUGAAGAAGAUGGACAUGAGCUCGUAAGGAGUACGGGAUGUGCUGAUAUUUAAAGAACGUCUGAGAAGGGGUAAAAGUGGAAUUUUUACCGCGCUGGCGUUUUGAGUUUUUCGGGAGUAGUGGUUGUCGUGGGCACCCGUUUCGAAAAGAUUGCAAUCAUCAGGUUGGAGACCGCGAAAUGGAAGGAUGUUUUCAUUGCGUCUGUUUCGGAUGAGAAGUUGAAAAGAAUUUUGAAGUAAAGACUAUGUUUUACUCCGAAACUGGGAGGCAUGUGUUGACGCCAGAUUUUGACACGAGUAAAAUCGGCGUUAGAAAUGGAAUAAAUUAGGAGAUGCGGCGAGAUACAAGGGCGACGAUUGGAAAUCGGCCGAUUGGUGCUACAGUCAAGGAUCGGUUGGUUGGUGCUGCAGUCAAGGAUCGGCCAAUUGAUGCUACAGAUGAGGAUCGACCGAUUGAUCCUUGGAGUUCCGCCUCGCCCAACCCCUGGUUUGGGAUCGGACGCGCCCGACCCUCCAAGGGAGGAUCUCCGCCUCGCCCGACCCCUGGUUUGGGAUCGGACGCGCCCGACCCUCCAAGGGAGGAUCUCCGCCUCGCCCGACCCCUGAGGUUUGGGAUCGGACGCGCCCGACCCUCCAAAGGAGGAUCUCCGCCUCGUCCGACCUUAGUUCCCAGGGUCGAAAUGAGUCUGAGCCCUCGAUAUGUGGGUCCUGAUCGGUUACCCCCUUGCCAAAGAGGUGAUCGGCCGAUUAGGAGGUUGGAAUAGUUGGGCCGAUGUGGGCUCAAGAAGGAUUAUGAAGAUGAAGAGGGGGUCAGCCCAUGAAGCGCGUGAAAAUAGUACGAAUCGUACUUGUAAAUAUUCGUUUUCUGUUUAAAUUUAGGGAUAGAGUUCUAGUCGGAUAAGAAGUCGUUCGUACGGGGCUAUAAAUAGCCACCGUUGUAGAUCUGUAAUCAUCAUCAACUCAAUACAACAAACUACUAUUUCCUCGUACUUACUUUCAAGCAGGCGACUUUACCAACACUUUUUCUCCUUUUUCACGAGUUCAUACGGGUUGGCGGGGCUGCAUCAACUUGACCUCCGGCCGAUCUUGUAAGUUCCGUUUAUCGACUAAAUUCUAAGCUUUAACUUCGGGCGCAUCGCUGUCGUUUCGUUUAGAUUUAUUCAUCAGUUAUCGAUAUUUACUAGAAUUCUAGGUUUUACCUGUUGUUCUAGUUUUAUCACCAAUUAUCCAGCUAGGAAUCGGUAAAUUCGGCUUUCUUUAUACUUCUCUGUCUAAUCUAUUUAUUUUAGCCGAUUAGAUCUGUUCCUAGUGUUGCUACUGUAGCGUUGUUUAGAUUACUCUAGCAGUUUUCUUUAUAAACGUUACCUGGUAAUCGGUUGCACUAUAGCCGAUUUCCUUAUUACGGCAAAUCGGCCGAUUCGCUGAUAAGCUUUCUUGAGACCGGAACCUUAGCCGAUCGCAACCUCUGGGAACUGACAUGUUUAUUUCCUUGCCAAUCAACAGGUCAGAUUGGCUGGCACGCCGCGCGAACCGCACCAGGGCAAUCACCCGAACAGGAGUUAAGCAGAUUCUCCCGGGUCGUGUGUCCGACGCUGGAAAUUCGGUCAGCUGAUUUCUAGCGCCAACAGGCUCAUUUAUGUCGCCUGACACGCGAAUAUGCACUUUAACCAAGUCAACCUGGUCGACCGUCGGAUUUCAUCCGAUGAACCACUUACACAGGAUCAAGAAGCAUCGCUCAAACGAAGGUGAGUAGCACAGAGGUUACAACAUUCCAUUAUGACAACUUAGUUCCACAAUUUAUUACAUCAGAGUUUCAGAAAUUCAAACAAGUUGCAAGGUUCGAAAAGUCGGAUAAAACAAGCGAAAACUAAACGUCGAUACAGGAUAUCAUGACGAAGUUGAUCAUGACAUCAAAAAUCCCUACCCUCACCGUCCGAGGAGGGAUCCCACUCGAUUGUCCAGCCCGGAGGGAGCUGGGUAGGCCAAGUGGUGCCAGCAACCAAACUAUUGACAUGACCUGAAAAGAUUAAGCCAUAACAAGGCUGAGCAACUAAUACUCAGCAAGACUGACCCGUCGAGUGAAAAGCUUUACCAAGACCUAGACAUGCAAGGCUUUCUGGCUCUGGGAUUACUUUGCCAAAAGCAUCUACAGUCGGUCCUUACUUUCAAUAUUUUAGCUUAAGUUCUACGUUCUUUAACCAGUCUAGAUUAGCAACUUAUACUAAACAAGCAUAAUUUCCAAGUAGUUAAAUAACAAGCAUCAACUUAAUCUCAUAAUCAUGUUUCAUCGUUACUCAGUGCAGAAUAGCGAUCAAGUAGUCCCAAACUGUGAGAGACAGAUGAAUCGAUUCGAAUUUAUUAACCAUGCAUGGCGAACCUAAUCUCACGACAUCCGCGCACCACGAAGGGUCGCUUCAUUUGUCAGCCGUCCCCAUCGAUCCCUUAGGCACGUGUCAGGGCCAAACUGCCUUUGGCGUGCAAUGCUCCACAGUCCCGACCUCUGUCGUACUGUGACCGCCACUGCACCCACAUGAUGCACCAUGGGAACGACGUUCCAAGGACAGCAGGAGUAUAAGCCACGUCCCAGUUCAGUCAGGUACUAGGCUUCCCCAUCCCAGACUAGGUAUGAGAUUAGUACUUUCAAACACUUGAUCACGAACGCUGACACGUUUCAACCUUAGAUCAAUUUCCUUUAGACAGACGGGGAAAACCACCAAGUAUCGAACAUAAGCCCGACCCCGUCCGUCAUCCUUAUAGUUGCAACAUAAAUAAACAUUCAACUCCUAUAACUCGCGAGUGAUAGGAAAUCACUCGACUUUUACUGAAACCUAAUAAGCAUUGCAACUACUCGACUUUAGCAACUAGUAUUCAAACAAGGUACUAAGUUCAUGCAUCUACGGUUUCAAUCAACUCCUACACACGUAAAUGCGCAAACAUAAACAUCAACAUGUUGCAUAAAGUAAAACAGGGAAGUCAUGCACCGGGGCUUGCCGUCAGGAAGAGUUAGCGGGUCCUCGGGGUCUUGAUCCGGCUCAGGCUCGCCUUCCAAGUGGUGAAGCUCCGCAGCGGGGUCUUCCUCCGGUGUCGGGUGGAGCUCGUAGGUUCCAUCGGCGAGAUUUGCUUCUAUACGACAUGCAUAUGCAAAAGUUUAGUUGGACUCACGCGUUUAUUCAACGACACAAGGCUUGGCUUAAGACAAGGAGUUGCAACAGCCACAUUCACUUUGACGAGGUUCAACUUUCAUGCAACUUCAAACGAAUGUGGUCGGUUUAAACUUGAGUUCGAGUUGAAUGGCGAUUGUGUACAUAUAUAGUUUUCUUACACUUAGAGUUGCAUAAAGAGAAUGAAAGGUCGUGUUUGGGUGGUUUGGGUGCAUUAGGAUAGUUACUUACUUCUGAAUGUUUUUAUGUACCUCUUUCAAUUUCCACUUAUUUAUCGUAUUAGAAUUUGUGCUUUCCUUUUAUUCCUUUAGGUUGAUUAAUUAACCAAAAUGACUUCAUAUCCAAACAGCAGCUAAAGGCACUGAUAAAAUUACAACACCUCACUUAAGCCAUAGCUGGGUUACUCUAAAAUUUUGGGGGCCAUUGGAUGACUUAAAAAGGAAUUACAUGCAUUUUAUUAUUAAAGGUAAAAUGAGCUUAACUUUUUCUAUCUUCAAAGUUACUAUGCAACAGAGGGUGAAACUUAACCAGUGUGUUAAGGGUAUGUUACAGGAUCUUUGGCGAAUUUUUCAUAAUUUUUGAAGAAGGUUAACUAUUUACUCUAUUUCCUUUUUAAUUAAACAUGCUUAGCAAGGAAGGUGUUUUUUCUUUCCGAAUUGCACAACAAUUUACAUUUUUCCUGCAAACUUCACAGCAAAACAAAAUUAACCCAACUAGUUUCACAUUUUUUUGAGCUCUGGAUCAAAACGUAUGCAAAAAGGAAGAAUUAAUCUUAGAUUCCCAAAUUAAAGUCAAAACAAUGACUUAAAGUGCUAGACCAGAGCCCUAACCAUUUUUCUGAGCUUCUACACAUAGAAACAAGCAUCACAGAGUUGGUUUUACAUUUUUCCCACUUUUCUUCUAUUUAAUAGGAUUAAAAAGGCCUAAACCAUGAUUAAAAGCAUAUGAUAUUAUUUACAACAGUAACAUGAGCAAACUUAUUUUUCUUAGGAACUAGAUAGAGCAAGGAUUCCAACAAAAGUGGUUUGGUAUUUUUAUGAUUUUUCUACGAUUUACUGGGCAUUUACAAAGUUCAACCAUAUUUCUACCUAUUAUUUAAAAGAAAAGCCGUGGCAAACUUGCAGGUUAGCCCCUGGGUCUAUGGGUUAACUACGCAGAGGUCCCUGAGUUUUGCGCCCAGGCCCCUGGAAAGAAUGGGGAUGAUGCAAUGUAGUCCCCAGGGCGCGCGCGGCGGCGGCGAGGAAAUCCCCGGCGGUUCGUCGGCGGGGAUGGGGCAACAAGUGGUCGGAGGGGUGCGGGGGCUCACCUGAGCUCGGUUUGGUGGGGUUGGGGCGACGGAGAUGGUCGGUAGGGAUCAAAACACGGCGGCGGCGACAGAGCUUGGCUGGUGGCGGUGCAGGCGUCGUUCCGGCGCACUGGCGGCGUCGGGGAGGCCACGGGCUGCUCGGAGACGUGCGCGGAGGGGGGGCGAAGUGGGCGGCGAAGUUGCCGGAGUACGGGGUGGCGCGGAGGGGUGAGCUCCACGGGAGCUUAGCGGCGGCGCUGAGAAGGAAGCAGAGGCGUGGUUGCGAGCGGUGGCAAAGGGUGGCAUUGCCGGUGAGGGGGACCCUUUUAUAGGGCAGCGGUGGAGCGGAGGGUCGAGGUGGGGCUCCGGUGGAGGAAGGAUAAGGCCGGGAGCGGUGCGUGCGCGAGCGAGGCGGCCAUUGGCCAGCGGUGCCAUUGGGCAGGGGAGGCGGAGCUCCGGGUGGUCUCUGGCCGCGAUUGGCCUCGAGCGAUGCGUGUCUGAGGCCUCCGGUCUGUCGGCGGGCGAAGCGGAGGGCCACCGCGGGGGUUGGGCGAGCGGGCGGAGGCGCGGGACGUCGUUGGCGUGGUGGCUUCUCCAGCGGGUGGGCGAAGCGCGGUUGGGCAGAGCAGAGCCGCGGCAGAGGGAAGGGCACGCGCGCGGCCGACGGUUGGCCAGCCCGGCGUUCGCCCCGUCUUGUCGCAGGCGCGGGUUGGGCGCCGUGGCUCUCACCUUAUCGUUGUCUCGCCGGGGAUAGGGCGCCGGUGAGCUGCCGGUGGCCAGCGGCCACGAGGCACGCGGUGCGCGGGCGAACAUGCCCUGGCGCGCGGGCGUUGAGGCCCCUUCGGGCAGUAAGCCCGACCAGCUUUGAGAGAUCCUAUCUCAAGAUUUUGCAACACAACUUCCAAAACUCUUCUAAACAAACUUGUUCAACUCUGGACGUAGUUCAAACUUGGUUUAAGGUGCUGGUUUAGAUUGUGAAAGGAUUUGGAGAUAUCUCAUGCCAAAGUUUGCCAAAAAUAUGGAAAUCCAGACUUAGCCAAUUUUGGCCGGAGAGGUGGAAUUUCAGGAACUUAGCUAUGUUUGAGUCAACUUUAGGGCAGCUUCCAAGUUGAAUUAGACAGAAGUGUUAAUAGAGGAGUUGCUCUCCAAACUGAGGACUUCAACUUCUAUUUAGGGUAUUUCUGGAGUUUAGUUCAGAAAUUUGGAGGAACGCCCUCGCCAAGAGGUGCACUCUGAGCAGUUUUCCAGACUUAGCGUUGUGGUGCUCAGGGGCUGAGUUGACUGCUUUGCUCAACUUUGACCAAGAUUUUGAACAGGUUCUGGUUCGAUUUGGACCUGGGUCAUUGUAACAAACUUGGAAAACACUUGAGGUAUUACAACCUUUAUUAAGAGCCUGACUUGAGUUUAGAUAUGAAAUCGUGAGAUAAAGGCUUGCAAAGUUGGAGGAAAACUUGAAUUCCACGACUUGGAGGUUUAUAGGGUUCUUUAUUAUUCCGGUUUUGAUUCCUGUUUUUGACUUCCUCCCACUCCGAAUUAGCCAAAGUGACUUUAACAAAUAUUGUUUGAAAUUAAAAGUGUUACAACUCUUAUUUGGGCAAAAUUUUAAGUUUGUAUAUAAAAUCUCAAGUUUUAUUUUAAACUCCAUAAAGAGCUUCUUAGGGUUAAAAUGGUCAUUUCACUUCCUUUACUUAGUGAUUAACCACUGGUUUAUAUUUAAAGCACUUAAUUUAGGUAGAGUUGUUACAAGUAUCCACUCACUACUUUACCAAAUGGGUGCAGGCAGUCCCUCUGAAGACCGUGACGUUGGCCGUCAUGAUUGAAUUCAUAAGCGAGCACAUUAUCUAUUGGUUUGGUAUUCCUCAGACUGUUACGACCGAUCAGAGAACAAUGUUUACUUCAGGAGAGUUUGAGGAGUUCACUUCCGAUAUGGAAAUUAAGUUGUUAAAUUCUUCUCCAUAUUACGUUCAAGCUAAUGGUCAGACCGAAUCGUCCAAUAAAGGGAUAAUCAAGUGUAUCAAGAGGAAGGUAGAGGAGCAACCAAAGAGAUGGCACAUGACUUUAAGCGAGUCUUUGUGGGCCUACAGGAUGGCCUGCCACGGCGCUACUAAGGUGUCUCCUUAUCAAUUAGUGUAUGGAUAUGAGGCGGUGCUCCCUUAGGAAUUGAGGAUGGGGUCUAGACGCACGUCGAUUCAAGAUUAGUUGACAGCCGACGAUUAUUCUCUCCUUAUGAAAGGGGAGCUUGAGGAUUUGGUGGGUCAACGAUUGAGGGCCUUGAUCAGUAUUGAAGAGAAUAAGAAAAGACUUGCCAAGUGGUAUGACAAGAAGGUCAAGGUCAAGCAGUUCUCGCAAGGGGAUUUGGUAUGGAAAUUGGUAUUGCCGAUAGGGUCUAACCAUCCCAAAUACGGCUAGUGGUCGCCUACUUGGGAAGGGUCGUAUAAAUCGAUCGAUAUGUGCCAGGAAAUGCAUACGUAUUAGAGACCAUCGAGGGAGAGGAAUUUACAAGAGCCUUAAAUGGGAGAUAUUUGAAAAGAUACUAUCCCAGCAUAUGAGUGGACGCGUAGCCGAUGAUAUAGUGUAUCGAGUCGUUAUGGCCGAUUCCUAUUGACUCGUGUUUAUAUAGCCGAUGCAGGGAGGCAUCGCCUUGAGGACGAAACCUCUAAUCAAAUUGGCCGAUUAUUAUUCGGUACGGUGAUUGGAUACAUGGCCAACAUGGUACAAGUCGCCCUUAGACCAAAAGUACCAAUACAUCUAUCGGGUUACAAUAUGAUUAACUGCAUUUCAACUGGGCUUUGUUUUUAUUGAUCUCUCUUUGGACCCGGCCUAGUUCUAUUAAGAGACGGGUGCUCUUUUCCUCCCUAUCCGCCAUGGCAUCUUUGAGAGCGACCUGGCAGGGUAGCUGAUGACUCCUCUCAAUUGGCGGCUGAGGUGGCUCCCUGGAGCUGUUGGCUUCGAUGUGAUCCACGAUCUUCUUAAUGUGGGUCGGAAGAUGGUCUUUAAGCUCCUCACGGUGGGCUUUGAUCAGGUCUUGGUCCACCUGCAUCAGUGGUUCCUCAGAGUGCAUAAUUUCGAUAACUCGCUCAAGAUCAGGGCUGAGCCGGGUCGGCUGGACAAACAGCGGGCAAUCAGUUGUCGAAAAGAAUUGGUCAAGGAGCGCAAGGCUGAUCUCAUACCUCAUUGACGGGGGAAGAAGAAGACAUCUUGGCGCCCGGUUAGGGAUCUGAAAAUGGUCGAGCAGAGUGUAGAAGGAUGGAUGAGAUACGAGUGCCUCUGGGAGGAAUGUAGGGACCCCAUAUUUAUAGGAGAAAAGGUAAGGGGCAACGGUUGGCAAAGGCAUCUAUUCAAAGCAGAUGAAUGUUGAGCUAAAAGCUGCGAAGAGGAAACGUUCAAGUCCGUAUUCACACAAUGAUGGCAAAAGGGGCAUUAAAUGUUUGUGCAGAGGUGUUCAAAAGAUAAUUCAAUGUUUUGAUACAUUCAUUCAAGAAGAAUAUUAAUGGCCGCGAUUGCCUACUGGCGGAUCUGAUCCGCUGAAUCUAGAACUCGUUGGACAUCUUCGGCUGAUCCAAGAAUUUCUAGCAUGUUGCGAUGAAGCCGGAUGGCCUCAUGCGCAAGGGUUUGCCUCUCCUGCUUCAGAUCAGCGAUGACGGUCGUGAGAUCAUGAAGAUUAUUCUUUUUGGCGGUUAUAGCCUUUGUCACCUACUCCAUCUCCUUGGCAAUCUCUGCCCUAUGCUAUUUGAGACGGUCUAUUGUGCCGACGAUGUCUGGGCGAGAAUUUUCGAGUACGCCGAUUCGGUGAUGUACCUCUUGAGCUCGGUGUUUGUAGGAAUCCUUCUCUUCACAUGGCUUUGCCAGCUUGGCAUGAACGGCCAUGUGCCGCAGGGCUCUGAACACCGGGAUUUGCAUUGACUCGAUGUAUGUAGGAGGUGCAAGAGCUUUUUCUACAUCCUUCAGGACUCGGCCUUUUAUUUCGCUGAAGAUUUGCCAAAUCGGCGAAGCGUCUUCCACCAAUCGGCCGAUGUCAUCUUGAAGAAGUGCUCGGAUUCUCUGGAGCUUUGCACGUACUUCUUCCGAAAUUGAACCUGGAGCCACUUGUCGAGAGGCUACCUCUUCAUCAUCAGAAACAGCGAUCGCAAAUGAAAAGAGGCUGUUAUUGGGCGUAUCUUGUUCCUAUAAAAGUAAGAGAGGAAGGAACGGAUUAGCCGACAGUAGUGGGAAAUCGGUCGGAUUGGAUGUCGAAGGCCCUUACCUGUUUAAAAUGAAUUUUCUUCUGUUUGUGUUUGGGGGAUUGCUACCCUUGUCUCAGGAAUCAGCAUGGUUGGCUCGUCAGAAGAAGAAGACUCGACGGUGAUCGACGUUGUGUUUGGACCGGCUUCCUGAAAGUAACAAAAGGAGAGUCUCUAUAAGUAUGAAGCAAUAGUUAGAUCUAAGGAUGAGUACCAGUUACUUUACCUCUGUGAGUCGUCCGGCCGAUGACUGUUGGAAAGGUAUGAUUGAUGUACCCAGAGUGGCCUACAUUAGAAAUCGGUCAUUUUUGACUAAGGAAUAAGAGACUUGAGUAAGAUGUAUGUUCUUUACCUCAGCUGCAAGGAUUGCUGGUGGUUCGGUCUCUGCUUGGGAUGCGACCGAUUGCUGUGAGGUUUGCUCCGAAAGAAUUUGCGCAGCCUAACAAAAAGUGGAAAUUAAUACUGAUAGUAUACUUGGAGAAAUGUGAAGCAUAUAAAGUUACCUGAACAUCUUUUACCAAUAAGGAUGCAGCUGCUGAUCCGGCUUCCGUAGCGGCUUGGGGGUCGACCUCCUGGGCGAUCGGCAGAGUUGGUGUGGCUGAAGACUCGGCUGGUGGCACCGCCGAUUGAUCGGCCGGUUCUAUACGGGCGCGCACCCGGCGGCUUGUCUUCUUUGAAGAGGAUAUCUUCAUCUUCUGCUUCAAUCGGCCUGUGAUGAUAUCUUCGAUUGACGGGGACUGAAAGCCGAUGAUUGGAAAUGAAGUAUAUGGGUGGCGAUUCUCUAUCGGCCUGCCACUACAGUUGUGCGUUGGAGAGAGUUGGCUUUCAGACGACAAGAAAUGAGGGAAAUCAGUGGUAAUACUGUAAGAGUACGGUGUCAAAUCGGCCAGAAGGAUUGGUACCUCUGCAUUCGGAUCAAUGUUAGCGGGGUCCAGAUCAUUACAAUAUGUUGUAGGAGAUGUGCAGAAGAGGUGUUGUUUCCACUCACCCCACCAUAGCUUGAAUUGUUGGACAGCGAAGGGGGCCACAACCCAGUUGGCCAAUUCGAUGGUACUGGAAUCCGGCGUCAAGCUGCACAGCUGAUUGUAUUCAAGACCUUUAGAGAGCUCCUCCCGACACUUAACGCGGCCGGCAAAAUAAAUCUUAAUCGGCAUUUGUCUGAGGCCGAAUUGCCGCGCUGCCACUGAUGGGUUGUAGAAUUCAUAGGUUGGGGAGUCUUUUCCUGAGAAGAAGUUUGCUGGUAGGAUCCCAGGCUUGAUCAAAGUAUCCAUAAGCUCAUUAUCGAAGUAAUUGAUGGUUGAAUUGAAGCAGUCGGGGUUUUCAAAGAGUGGCUCAAUUCUCUGAUAUGGGUACCAGCUUGUAGUUUCUUCAUUGAAGCCGAUAUAGAAGCAUCUGAAAUACUCAGUUGUAUUUGUGGGGGUAAACUUGCUGCCAGGAGAAGCUGACGCUACCUCGCCAAGGAAGUGCAACGCCGUCUUAAUGUUGGGUUAUCCUCUGAUUCAAUAUUGGGGAAUGUCUUGGUCUCAACUCGUUCCCUGGAGAUCUUGCUCAUGUAUAAGUUGAGCCAGAUGGUGAUAAACCACCAGGGGCCACCAGAGUUCCCAAUCGGCUCUCCGGAUGACAGCUUGACUGCGAUUUGGUGCAUCAUAUGAUGAGCCAAUCCUAGCAGGUGUUUUCCUAAGGGGAUAGUAGAACCUUUUGCUAGGGCCUCGACCAGAGCCUGUGUAUUGGAGGAGGGGCCAACUGCUUUGCCACAGAAGAAGUGCUUCUCUAACCACAUCAUCAGGAAAGCUGUGUAUUCUCUAUCGCCGAUAGGACCGGUCUUCAUAUUUUUAUCAAUAUAGCAUUUCCACCUGCCGAUUCCCUUUGUUUCCAGGCGAUGGGUUGGUUUGAUCAGGAAAUUGAAGGGCAAGUCGGGGGAAGAGAUGUCAAGACCGGUCAGCAUCAGGACGUCGGCCAAAGUAGGGGUCAUGGGCCCAUGUCCAAAAAGGAAAACAUUGAGAGCGUCAGACCAGAAAUAAGAAGCUGCCAUGACCAAAGGUUCAUUCUUCUCCAUUUGAGACAGAUAUAAGUUUAUGCAUUGGCCGAUUUUUAGUUCAUCCCAAAGAACCCUCUAAGAAUUGGACAUCCUUUGAAACCACUCUUUCCAGCCAAGGGUUUCGUUCGGCCAAGAUCUAAAUGCACCUGUCCACUGGCUUAAAUCCAUUGGUGACUGCUUGAAAGGGAUCAUGUGGGUUUCCAGGUUGAUCAAUUCAGUGGGAUCUAGAUUCCCCAUGGGGCUAAGACCGACGAGGCCGGGUGCGUCAGAAACAGGGAUGGUGAUUUGCUGCCUAAGUUCCUAAAAAGGAUACAAAAGGAGAACUAAGAACAGAUCUAAAAGAUGCGUGAAUGGUGAAAAGUAAAAGUAAAAACUUUGGGAUAUUUACCUCUGGAAUGAAAGCCAUAGUCGCCUAUGGAGCCGCUAUUGGAGUAAACAGAAUAGGAUGGACGGAAGAUGAAGGAGGAAUCACCGUAGGAAUGCAGUUGGAAGAUGAAAGGGUGCCGAAAUGCGAUGGAAGAUGAUUCGCCGGGGAAAAAAGAGUUUCCCAGCUUGUGGAGAAGAAGCGGCGGAGAAUGCAAAUAUUUAAAGAUGGUUCGAGAGAAGGGUAAAGGUGGGAUUUUACCGCGCUGUCUGCACAAAUUUCGGGAAGAGCGGUUGCCUGCGAGCGCCUAGCUCGAAAAUUGUGAUCAUCAGAGAGAAGACCGCAGAACAGAAAGGAGCUUUCGCCGUGCCCGCCUCGGAGGAUGAGUUAGAGUUGAAAAAAAUUUGAAGCAAAAAGUUUCACUCUGAAACUUGGGGGCAUGUGUUGACGCCGGAUUUUGACACGUACUUGAAAUCGGCGUCAAAGAAGGAGAAAGGGGGGCCGAUGCGGCGGACUAGAAGCUACAGUUGGGAAUCGGCCGAUUGAAGCUACAGUGUUUCAGCCGAUUGGUGGAAGAAAUCGGUGGAGGCUGGCCGAUUGAGAGCCAAAGCAGUUUGGCCGGUUUGGGCCUAAGGUGGACCAGGAUGAAGAUUUGCUGAAGAGACAGGCCCGUGGGAAAAUAAUAACCAACUCGAAUAUGAGUCGUGUUUGUAACUAUUUGUUGUCGUUUGAAAUUAGAGAUAGAUUCUAGUCGGUUAUGAAAUCAGUUGCAACAGGCAAUAAUAGCUGCCUCGAGAGGCUUGUAAAAAAAUAACACACAAUCAAUAAAACAAAUUUACUCUUUCCUCGUACUUUACUUUCAAGUCGGCGACUUCGCCAAAACCUUUUUCUUUCACGAGUUCGUACGGAUUGGCAGGGCUGCAUCUACAUGAUCUCCGACCGAUUCUGUAAGUUCCGCUUAUCGAGUAAUAUCUAAGCUUUAACUUCGGGCGCAUCGCUGUUGUUUCAUUUAGAUUUAUUCACUAGUUAUCGAUAUCAACUACAGUCAUAGGUUUUACCUGUUAUUUUAGUUUUUAUCACCAAUUAUCCAGCUUGAGGUACGAGCUAUCGGCUUCUAUUAUUUUUAUCCUUUAUCAUCACAUAGCUGAUUAGAUCUACUCCAAGUGUUGCUUUUGUAGUGUUGUUUAGGUUGCUCUAGAAGUUUUCCUUACGAUUGCUACGUGAGUAUCGGCUGUCUUAUAGCCGGUCAUCUCUAUAGUAAAUCGGCCGAUUCGCUAAUACGCUCUUCAAGACAGAUCGGAACUCUAGCCGAUCGAAACCCCUAAAAUUUAAUAUUCUUCUUUCCUUUGUCAAUCAACAGGUCAGAUUGACUGGCACGCCGCGCGAACCGCACCAGGGCAAUAACCUGAACAGGAGCUAAGCAGAUUCUCCCGGGUCGUGUGUCCGACGCUGAGGGUCAUCGGCCAAUUUUCAGGGCCAACAACAGCUUUUGGGCAAAAGCAUAUAGGACUUUUAGGGGGUGUUUGGCAUGGCUCUAGAGCUGAACUCCGGUAACUCCAGCCAAUUUUCCAGCCAAACACCCUAGCUCCAAAACUCCAUGGAGCUGCAGUGCAAAUGGGAUGGAGUUUUGGCGCACCUCUUUUGUAGCUCCAAAACCACCUAAUAUGAACCUCCUCGUGGAGUUGGUGGGUAAUUAACCAUCAAUGCCACUGAUUAAAAUAAAAAUGAUUCACUUCUAUUUUCUCUCGAGACCCCUCCCCGCGCCGCCCGAGGCCUCCUGAUGCCGCUCUCCUGCGCCGCCGCCUAGCGCCGCCGACAGCUGCUGUCGCCGUCCGUGCCCCGCGUCCUGCGGGCUACCGCCUCGCCAUCCCCAUGAGCCCCCUGCACCGCCGUCAGAGCCGCCAGCCGAGCCGCUGCGGCCGGGUUUCCGCCGUCUUGCCGCCUCUUUCCUCAACUGGAGUGAGCCAUCAGCAGCAGCAGAUUCCCCUCGGCGAGCCACGCCCGUUUCGCCGGUUCCGUUGUCACCCUGCUGCCGGAGUGCCGCCGCCACCGUGAAAACCGCCCGCCCCCCGAUCUCCACCACCACGCUGACCACCUCCGUCCAUGCCCUCCGCCGGUGAGCACACCCGUAGAUUCCCCUCGACCCCCUCUUCCUCUUGCGCCACCUGCCCAAAACACCACCUCGCCGGAGCGCCAGCAAGCUAGCUGGCCAGAGCCCCGGUGAGAGGAGGAAGAAGGAACCUGGCUCUUUUGUGAUUGGGUCCUUGAGGAAAGCUAAAAUCUUUUGCUCUGUUCCUUGCUCCCGGCGAGAGGAGGAAGAAUAGUGGGCUUCUGUGGUGGAGGGCGAGAUCGAACCAGGAGUCAGAAUGUCAAUCUACCCUCAAACUCCUCUUUUCUGGAGUUGGGAACACCCUCCCAACCAAACACCUUCAUCAGACAGCAGGUUGAAAAGAGGCACAUGAGGCUCAGCCGCUUAGGCCCACGGGCAAAAAAAAAAAACUCUUACUUUAUGGCGGAGUAGUUGCUGUUCCAGUGUGCAGGUAAAUUGUCGCAAAUGCCCUCUUGUGGUCGCGUUGCAGUAGCCGAUAAGGCGUCCAAACGUGAGGUGCACACACCUGAUCUGAUCCUCUCAGUGGAAACGGGCCAGGUCCAUGCAACCCAGGACAGGAAGGCUCUAUACCUGGGCCGAACGGUAGCCCAAGAGGCCGACAGUAAGUGAGCUCACGGGUGACGAACGGCCCAGAAGCCGCCCCAAUCCGGCCACCGCCACUGAGCCGGCUCGACUAAACCGGAUCGCCACGCAGCCCGACCGCGCAGGCGUACUUCCCGAACUACCCCCGGAGAUUAUCCAAUCGGACGGCCAAGCGCCACGCACUGCCAAAGAAUUCCCCGAAAUGACCCUACUCUUCCCUUUGCCUCCCUCGCGUGCCGCCGGUUCUGCUCGACCGGACCAGCGGUUCAGGCGCCGAAUAUUCGCCCGCGGAUAUUUCUUGCCCGGUGCGUCAACUCCGCCGCUAUAAAUACCCUCAUAGGGCGGCCGCUAGGGUUUUAGUGCUUCUCUCCCGGCGGCGCCUCCACAUAUCGUCUCUCAGAUCGGGAGGCGAAACCAAGGUGACUGACCUCAUCCCCUUUCUCCUCCCUCCGUCUCUGGUUGCUAUAGCUAUUUCAUCCAUGCGCUGUCCUUAUAGCUGAUUAGUAUUUUUACUAGUGGAGUUCGAGUCGUUUUGGUUCCAUUCAGUAGUGCUUGUGUUGAUUGGAUUGAAUCGGAGGACUCGAAGUGGUUUGUGCUGCUCGAAUCGUAAGUUUGUUGGGCUAAUCUCGAUGGAAUUUAUGUCAAUUCGUUGGUUUAGUGGUCCUUGGCAGUUCUCUCUGUGAUAGGCCCGUCCGAUCUGUAGAGAUGCGGUGGAAUCCUGGUUUACUCAAAACGGUUCUAGAUUCCUCUGUUCUUCCCUUAUUUUUUGUUUCGAUUACUUAGUUUGCACGUUAGGGGCCUAUGAAGUUUAUGUGCUCGGAUCCUUUAGUGAAACUGAUCUGUUUACUCAGAUGUGCUCGGAUCCUUCAGUGAAACUGAUCUGUUUACUCAGAUCUGCUGGUAGCUAACAGGUUCAGGGUAGUUAUGUUGAUGGUCUAGUUUUGGUAGUUUCAUUGUCGAUUUCUGUCCAUUUUUGUCAUGUUCUGUCCAUAAAAAUACUAUCUGUGCUUCUUCAUAUCUUGUAAUAUGAAUUCAUUUGACAAACUAUGCAUUUCUUUUAGAGUGUUUGUCUAAAUUAAUCUUCUGGUAUAUCCCUAUGCCAGUCUGUUAAUAUGUCUGUAUUAUAGUGUUUUGUUUGAGGUGGUAAUGUACAUGGUGCACCCUGCAGUUUUUCAUGUCUAAUAUUGAAUCUCCUUGUUUGCUGUAUGUAUUAAGGAUUAGUUUCACUUCAAAUAGCUUACUGCUGAUGCUUUCUUGUUUGUUUAAUAUGCUGUGUAAUCAUGUUGACCCUGAGGUUUGUAAGAAUUCCUCUUAUUUGAUUAUUGCAUGGAUUAGUGUCCUGAAGGAUAUGGCUCCUUUGUACAAUUAAGAUAAUUCACUUUUUUUUCUCAACUUUUAUAUGCUUACUAGCCCAUUAGGUUGUGUAAACAUUAGAGUGCUUUAGCCUGGUAAAGAUGAGUUAAGCAUUUUAAAUAAAUUUUUGGAUUUGGUUGAUAUCAUCCUUAACACCUGCAUUUAAACAAUUUGUCUCUUUUGAUCCUGACUAUUACAGUGGGUGUUACUUUCUUUAGUCAUUCUGUGGUAUCAAAGUUUCUGGUGUAGUUGUGUAAUUAUGGUUUUGGUUGGAUUCUUACUAGUAUUUUCUACCUUUAAACAGCAGGAAAUUAUAUACAUAUUUGUAGUGUGAUCUUCAUAAGAAGUCAAGAUGGUGAAGUUCACAGCGGAAGAGCUCCGUGCCAUCAUGGACAAAAAGAACAACAUUCGUAAUAUGUCCGUUAUUGCUCAUGUGGACCACGGUAUGUUAAGAACAGUGUUUAAUUAAAUGUUAUGCAUACCUGUUCCUCGACAUUUUUCAGGCUUUUCAAUUUUAGCAAUUGUUUUUUUUCAGUAUUAAAUCUCUGAAUUGUUCUUGCCAGUGAAUGCGAUUCAUGCUGCGUUAGCUAUCACAGACCUAUUUUACAUAUGUAGAAAUAUUCAUUUCAUGUUGGAAAUAGGCUUAUUGUUCUUUUGUAAUUAAUGUAUUGGUUUAUCUCUAGAUAUUGCAGUGUAUAGUAUCUGUUUACUAUGUGUUUUAUAUUGGGAUGUAUUGUUGUCUUUGUUAACUUGUGAGAGGUUGUCUAUCCCUAAUGUUGUACUAUUCUUGAUGCAUCUUCGGACUGACUUUUAAGUUCCACACUAUAGUCUUACAUCUCAUUAAUUCUUUGCAGGCAAGUCUACCCUUACAGAUUCCCUUGUGGCAGCUGCUGGGAUUAUUGCCCAGGAAGUUGCUGGUGAUGUCCGCAUGACUGAUACACGUGCAGAUGAAGCAGAGCGUGGUAUUACAAUCAAAUCCACCGGUAUUUCUCUGUACUAUGAGAUGACUGAUGAGUCACUGAAGAGUUACAAGGGUGAGAGAGAUGGUAACCAGUACUUGAUCAACCUUAUCGACUCACCUGGGCACGUUGAUUUUUCUUCGGAAGUCACAGCUGCCCUUCGUAUCACCGAUGGUGCUCUAGUGGUGGUUGACUGUAUUGAAGGUGUCUGUGUGCAAACUGAAACUGUGCUCCGCCAGGCUCUUGGUGAGAGGAUUAGGCCAGUGCUUACUGUGAACAAGAUGGACAGGUGUUUCCUUGAGCUUCAGGUUGAGGGUGAGGAAGCCUACCAGACUUUCUCCCGUGUCAUUGAGAAUGCCAAUGUCAUUAUGGCAACAUAUGAAGAUAAGCUCCUUGGUGAUGUCCAAGUCUACCCGGAGAAGGGAACUGUUGCUUUCUCUGCUGGUCUGCACGGCUGGGCCUUUACCCUCACCAACUUUGCCAAGAUGUAUGCUUCGAAGUUUGGAGUUGAUGAAACUAAGAUGAUGGAGAGGCUCUGGGGUGAGAACUUCUUUGACCCAGCCACAAAGAAGUGGACCACCAAGAACACAGGCUCUGCUACCUGCAAGAGAGGAUUUGUUCAGUUCUGCUAUGAGCCAAUCAAGCAAAUCAUCAACACCUGCAUGAAUGACCAGAAGGAUAAGUUGUGGCCCAUGCUUCAAAAGCUUAAUGUUACCAUGAAGUCUGAUGAGAAGGAAUUGGUUGGCAAGGCUUUGAUGAAGCGUGUUAUGCAAACUUGGCUUCCAGCUAGUACUGCACUGCUUGAGAUGAUGAUAUUCCACCUUCCUUCCCCAUCAAAGGCACAAAAGUAUCGUGUGGAGAACUUGUACGAGGGACCCCUUGAUGAUAUCUAUGCUACUGCUAUCAGGAACUGUGAUCCGGAGGGUCCUCUUAUGCUGUAUGUUUCUAAGAUGAUUCCAGCAUCUGACAAGGGCAGGUUCUUCGCCUUUGGUCGUGUCUUCUCUGGGAAGGUUGCUACUGGUAUGAAGGUUAGGAUCAUGGGUCCCAACUAUGUCCCUGGCCAGAAGAAGGAUCUGUACGUCAAGAGUGUCCAGCGUACUGUUAUCUGGAUGGGAAAGAAACAAGAGUCUGUUGAGGAUGUUCCUUGUGGUAACACUGUUGCUAUGGUUGGUCUGGAUCAGUUCAUCACGAAGAAUGCUACACUCACCAAUGAGAAGGAGGUUGAUGCAUGCCCAAUCAGAGCAAUGAAGUUCUCUGUCUCCCCUGUUGUGCGCGUUGCUGUUCAGUGCAAGGUUGCCUCUGACCUACCCAAGCUCGUUGAAGGUUUGAAGCGUCUGGCAAAGUCUGAUCCUAUGGUCCUCUGUACAAUUGAAGAAUCUGGUGAGCAUAUUAUUGCUGGAGCUGGUGAGCUUCACCUUGAGAUUUGCCUGAAGGAUCUGCAGGAAGACUUCAUGGGUGGUGCUGAAAUUAUUGUUUCUCCUCCUGUUGUCUCUUUCCGUGAAACUGUUCUUGAGAAAUCCUGCCGAACAGUCAUGAGCAAGUCCCCCAACAAGCACAACCGUCUUUACAUGGAAGCCCGUCCCUUGGAAGAGGGUCUCCCUGAGGCUAUUGAUGAGGGCCGCAUUGGUCCACGUGAUGAUCCCAAGGUUCGCUCCAAGAUCCUCUCUGAGGAGUUUGGUUGGGACAAGGAUCUUGCCAAGAAGAUUUGGUGCUUUGGACCUGAGACCACUGGCCCGAACAUGGUUGUUGAUAUGUGUAAGGGAGUGCAGUACCUCAAUGAAAUCAAGGAUUCUGUUGUGGCUGGCUUCCAGUGGGCCUCAAAGGAGGGUGCACUGGCUGAGGAGAACAUGCGUGGCAUCUGCUUUGAGGUCUGUGAUGUUGUUCUUCAUGCUGAUGCAAUUCACAGGGGUGGUGGCCAGGUCAUUCCAACUGCCAGGAGGGUUAUUUAUGCUUCUCAGCUCACUGCCAAGCCAAGGCUGCUCGAGCCAGUUUACCUUGUGGAGAUCCAGGCCCCAGAAAAUGCACUUGGUGGUAUCUAUGGUGUUCUGAACCAGAAGAGAGGGCACGUGUUUGAGGAGAUGCAGAGGCCUGGUACCCCGCUCUACAACAUCAAGGCUUACCUCCCUGUCAUCGAGUCCUUUGGGUUCUCCAGCCAACUGAGGGCUGCAACCUCUGGCCAGGCGUUCCCUCAGUGUGUGUUUGACCACUGGGACAUGAUGGGCUCUGAUCCUCUGGAGGCUGGCUCCCAGGCUGCUCAGCUGGUGUUGGAUAUCCGCAAGAGGAAGGGUCUCAAGGAGCAGAU
rnacentral:lncRNA from 1 species